CUCCCCUCAUAUCUUCAGCAUAUUCCUUAAUUUUCAUAGCAGAAUCUUCAAGUUGAGGGCUCUCUACAAGUUUGAUAAUUUUCAAUGAACUAAUAUCCCCGAAAAUAGGUGGAAUCUCCUCAAGCUCAUGACAUCCCUGCAGUUUUAAUUUCUCAAGGGAGGGAAAGGAUUCCUCUCCAACCUCCCACUUGGAAAGUGUCAUUUCAUGCAACUUCAAAUAUUUGAGAUUCUCAAAGGUGUCUUCCUCCCCCAUGUUCCAUUCUUCCCCAUGGAUGAUUGUAUGACCAAGGUACAACUCUUCAAGGUUGGACAGUCUCGCUAUUGUUGAUAGUGAAUUGGAUGUCAGAGGAAAGUCAACCAGACGCAAUUUUUUCAGAUUCAAAGGGAAGUAAAAAUUCCAUGGCCGAUUUAUGGCUGCAGAGGACCCACUGUCAUUUGUGUUUGAACUUUCAAAACCUACAUUGAGGUCUUCUAGUUCAGUUAGGCAAUCCAAUUUCGGGAACCAGUAUUGCUCUGUUGAAUAAUCCCAUGAUUCCUUGAGUUCAAACUGAGGCAAUUGAAGAUUGGGAAACCUUUUGAAAAUAACCUCUGUAUCUUUCGAAUAGGAAAGAAUGAGUUGCCCUAAUAUUUUCAACUUCUCUAACUUUGUGUCCUCUGCUAUCAGUAUUGAUUCAUCUGCAUACAAAUCAAAGAAAGAGCAAGCAGUCAUGCCCAGCACUCGCAACUUUACAAGAUCCCAAAUUCUCGGUAAUAGUAUCAAGAUUGUUCUAUAGUUUUCAACCAUUAGAGUUUCUAGAUUCCAGAGGUUUGAGAAGAUAAAGGCAGAGAUUCAACUUCUGUCCUAAUGUAUAAGAACCUCAAAUGAUUCAACAUGCAUAUUUCAUUCAGCAAAGAAUCUUUCACCGUGAUAAAAGAGGUAGGCAGUUCCAAGGCUCUAAGAAGCCUCAAAUGUCUUAGAUGAAAUGUAUCAGAAACACUAUCGGCCAACUGCUCGUCUCCAUCUAUGGUCAAAGAAUAGAGGUGUUUACCAGAAUGCCUUUUCUUGUUUGAAUCAAACAAGACAAAAUUGUUAAUCCCCAAUAACCCGCUGUUAUAAUGAAUGGUAAUUUGACGUGGCAUCAAAUCUGAACAAAAAGAUGGUGUACUUGAACUUAUCUGGUCAAACAACUUUUCCUCUCUUGCUUUUAUCAAACAAAAUUCAUGCACUAGAUCAUGAAGUUGGCAAGUCGGGGUAUCACCUAUCUCGUUGAAAGCAAUUACCAAGCUACUGGAAAUUAAGUUAUCCACAUAAACCUUUAUCACUUCUUCCACACUCUUCAUCUCUGUCUGUUCCACAAGUCCUUCAGCAUGCCAUAAACCAUUCAAUGCAUAUAUUGUUAUUGCAGUGUCCUUCAGAAAACUUGCAAGGUAAAGAAAGCAUGGCUUGAUGUGAUGUGGCAAAUAAAGGAACUCAAAUUAUUUUGAACUUCAAGCCACACAGUCUUUUUCUUUUCCCUCCCAGCAAUGACUCCAGCAAUCAGAUCAGCCACCAAAGGAAGCCCUUUACAAUUUUCGGCUAUUUCUUUACCAACAUCCAAUAGUUCAUCAGGGCAACUCUCGUUUCCAAAUGCCCUUUUCUCUAAUAACUCCCAACUUUCUUCUGAUCUUAGCAAUCGAAGCUCAAGAGGAUCAGUAUAGCGCUUUCCAUGCAAAGCCACUUCCUUUUCUCGAGUAGUCAAAAUAAUUCUACUUCCUUUCAUACCAUUAGGAAAAGGUCUUGUUAACUCAUCCCACGUAGUAGUAUCCCACACAUCAUCUAAGACAAUAAGAUACCUCUUUCCAUACAGUUGUUUCCGUAGCUUAUCAGCAACAUCAAUAUUCUCAAUCAAAUUUGAAUCCGAGCCAUUAACUUGAUUAAAAAUUUUAUUCAACAAAUUCUUUUCGUCAUAUUCUUGGUCGACUGUGCACCAUGCGCGAAGGUCGAAAUGACAAGAAAUUGAUUUAUCAUUGUAUACUUUGAAUGCCAAAGUAGUUUUGCCUGAACCCGGCAUACCAGUGAUCGAAAUGACAUCUAGAUCUGCCGGUCCUCUGGUGAGCUCUCUAAGUAUCAGGUUUGUCUCCUCCUCAAAACCUACAAUUAUUUUAUCAGUUGUCAAUGACUUGCUCUCAACUGGUUUCUUGGGAGAGUUCACAACGAUGAGACCUCUGUUCUUGGAAAUGUUCUCAUGUAAAUCAGAGACCUCUUCUUUGAUAAGCUUCAUCUUCUUUAUGGUAAUGGGAAGUGAGAAAAUAAGAUGUAAGAGACCAUUAUCUCGAACAAUAAUUGAAUCUAUGACAUCUUUUGCCUCAUAAGCUACAUCUAGAACACGUUCCCAGAGAUCUUUAUACAAUCCUUGCUCAACAUUCACAAAGAACGAUCUUAUGAAUUCUAGGUCUUGUCUCACCAACUCAAUUUCUUCCUUUAUCAAAGCAAUUGAAUAAGCAUUGGAAUCCAGCAAAUCAUUCAAAUGUAUGUGUAGUAGAUGCAUGAAGAGAGGUCCAUCACUCAUGGGGAAGCAACAUUGAGAUGAAACCGGGACUUUCAGAUAAACAUGUUUGAGAUCUUCCUUGAGGAGUUCAAUAUCCAGCAACUUUAGGGUUGCACGAUUUGUCUCGUCGGUACUCUCUUUAUUCCUUAAUUUCUCUUCUAAGUCGCGAACAAGAGUUGCUACCUCCCUGGUAAGUGCUCCAACACGAGCCAAGAGAUCAAAAAGUUUGUCAUGAUGAAUAAAGUCCUUGGGCAUAUCAGAAAGAAUAAUCAAUAGGAAUUCCAUCAUGACAUGAAUGUUUUGAGCCCCUGAAGUGCUAGGGGUAAUAACAGUUACCAUAUGCUCUUGUAGAUGAGUCAGAUAUUCUCUGAGAAUGUCUGGAGAAGUUUCCAGGAGCUUCUUAGUGAAGCGUCCAACUUCUGCUGAAGUUGAAGCUUUCAAAUUUGUAUAACAUAUGUGCAUAACCUCCAGUUCAGUUGGAACAAUCUUCAAGAGUAGAUGUGCUAGCUCGGAGAGUCGAGAGUCUUCAUCAGUCUGAUCCUCCCAAAGGAAGUGUCCUACUCUCUCAGCCAUGAGUUGAAACAGAGGUAAGACAUUCUCAACCGUCUUAUGGUUAAUGCAACCAUUCACUAUCAAACCAUGGAAAUCUCUUACAUUGCCACAUACAUUCUGAAGAACCUCAUAUUGAGUCACUCCAGGAAACAUCUUUUCAGCACGAUGCUUGGAUAGAUGAUAGAGAUUCAAGAGGAGGAAGUCCAAUUGCUCAUCCAUCAUGGUGACAUCUGAUUUAGAACGAUGAUACAAGCUGAUACAGUCAUCCAUAUUACUGGCGAGGCUAGUAAGGACAUAUUUACACCCGACGUCUUUGCCAUCAUCAUCCAAAAUUGGUUGAAGCAGAUCCUCAACCUCUUGUCUUUUUCUACUCAUUAUAACUUCAAACUGCUCCAAAUCGGAAUAAGAAAGCUGGACAUAUGUACAAAUAAAUGCCAGCUCCAAUUUUAGCUUUUCAACUUGAUCUUUGUCAAGAGCUUUUUGAUUUUCUUCAUUCUCUAAUCUCUCUAGGAUAUCCAGAACAUCGGCAAUGUCCUUGCGAAGAGCAGAAAAUAACACCUGCCAAAGUAACACAUAUCAAAUUUUUAAAGCCACAUAUCUACAGUUCAAUACUUUACAGUUCACUCUAUCAAGUAACAUACCAAUGACUUGUUUGCUUCUUCAUUAUCUUUUCGUUUUUCCAUGAUUCUACUUUUCCUUUCCAAGUUCUCAAGACCUGAAAGAAGAUGAAAUGAUAAGAAUAAUCAAUAAUUUCACUAUUUUCAUGCGAACUUAAGAGGAGGUCUUAAUUAGUGGAAGAUGAUAAAGGUACACUUGCGAUUUGAAUUGAAGAAAAUGAAAUGCUAAGAAUAAUCAAUAAUUUCACUAUUUUCAUGCGAACUUAAGAGGAGGUCUUAAUUAGUGGAAGAUGAUAAAGGUACACUUGCGAUUUGAAUUGAAGAAAAUGACUUGUAAAAAUGGGGUUCAUCCAGAAACGAGACCUAAUGGUACCAAACCUUUCUAUUUUUUAUAGCGUAUAGUAAUAUAUUUUCAUUAGUAAGGGGAAUCUUUCGUCAUCUUAGAAAAAAUCUAAAAGAUCUGCUUCUAUUCACUCCGCACUCUCCAACCCCCUCCCUCUCACCCGGUAAGAAUUCACCCGCACUGGAUAUUAAUCAAACUAAUACAACUUAUCAUGAGUAAGUAAUAAUUUAAUGAGGUGAAAAUAUACAUUAACUAACCACAAUUAAAGUGAUAAUGUCGUGCAUCUAUUGAUUUGUUGUAAAUCGGUGGUGUGAGUAAGUAUUUAGCCCUCUCUCUUUCUCCUGCAUUUUGUUUACCUCUCUCUUUGUGAGAUCCAACUAACUCACCAAAGUUCUUUCAUUUUUCUUACAUCAUUUUUACUUUUCCAUAAUUUUACUUCAAUAGAGAUGAGAGUAGCAAAUUAUUAGAUGAGUUGACGAACCUUUUUAGUUGAUGAUGAAACUAUAUAUCCUCUGCUUGCUUUGUUAUUAGAUCUAUAGAGCUCAAAAUUCUGGAAAUAAACAGAGGAAUAAUUAAGACCAAAUAUGAUGCAUAGUAUUAUUCCAAAAAAGUAAGAAAGCAAAAGCAUGAUUAAAUUACAAUGGGGACUCACUUGUCUGCCACAAAGGAUAAAGAUAAGAAAGUUAAUCAAACUUUCAAUAAUCUGCUCACACUAUUUUCUUAUUGCCCGUCCAAAAAAUAUUACUCUCUCUGUCUCAAUUUUAGAGCUGUCAAUAUGGGCUAGCCCACCCCAUCCGGGCUAACCCAUACAUGCUUUGACAUUUUACGGGUCAGGCCAGGCUAGCCCAUUUUUGGUGUGGGCCAGAAAACGAUCGGCCCAACCCAUAAGUACGUGGGCUACAGGCUUGCCGGGCCAGCCCACUUUUUUAAAAGUUAUAUAUUUUUUUAUAAUUAUUAAAUUAAAUUAUAAAUUAUAAUUUAAAAAUAUUAUCAUAAAUAUCGAUAAAACAAUAUUACAUGGUGUUAAUGUUACUACUUGUUAAUCAAAUCCACAAAUAAAAUUAUCUUUAUAAUAUUUAUUAAGUUUUUUUCAAGUAAAAGUAUAAAUAUCUAAAUAGAAAUAUUAACUCAACUGUUUUGCAAUAAUCACAAUAAAAUACAAAAAAUAUGACAAUAUUCCAACCAUAAAAAUGUAAAAAAUAAACUCCUUAAAAAAUCAUGAAACUUAUGGCGUAUCUAACACUUCAUGAAACCUAUGGCGUAUCUAACACUUCAUGAUCAUCUUCAUCAAGCAUAUCUGAAUCANNNNNNNNNNNNNNNNNNNNNNNNNNNNNNNNNNNNNNNNNNNNNNNNNNNNNNNNNNNNNNNNNNNNNNNNNNNNNNNNNNNNNNNNNNNNNNNNNNNNNNNNNNNNNNNNNNNNNNNNNNNNNNNNNNNNNNNNNNNNNNNNNNNNNNNNNNNNNNNNNNNNNNNNNNNNNNNNNNNNNNNNNNNNNNNNNNNNNNNNNNNNNNNNUUUCGAGUAGCAACAAGUGUUUGGACAUUUUCAUGGUGGAUGCAACUACUAUACUUAGUGAUUUUCUAAAAAACUUUAAAUAGAUUUUGAGUUUGGAUCUCUUUAAUUUUAAAUUUUAAUAUUAUAUUAUAUUUUUUAAUUAAUUUGUAUUAGCCCACGGGCCGGCCCUACCUAUAUUUCUCAAGCCCCACAAAUCAGAAACUAUUUAAACCAUAUAUAUAAAUAGUGUAAUUAUCCGUCAAAGAGGGUUUGAAUGAACCCUCUCGACCUUACCUGACUCCCCCGAUAAAAGGCCCUAUUAAAUCCCGGGUUAGGCCAGGCUGGUCCAACAGGCCUAGCCCAUAUUGACGGCUCUACUCAAUUUAUGUGACACAUUUCAGAUUUUGAGAUUCAACAUGAAUAGAUUCAUUUUCUAAUCAGGGUGGCUUGCAUUUUCCUUAAACUUUUUGACUGUAAAUUUUUCAUUUAUCUUUUAAAUAUUUUGAAUCAUCAAUUAUUGAGACUUAUAGUACUUUUUAUGUAGUUUACAAAUAUAUAAAUUUCAUUUUAAAUAAUUUGAAGAUUCCAUGAGCAAAUUCUCGGUCAUAUGUGUUGACACCCAAUUUUGGCCCUCCCCGAUAAUAAUNAUAGUGUUGACACCCAAUUUUGGCCCUCCCCGAUAAUAAUUGAUUUUCGAGCUUCUUAAUUUCCAAACGAUUUAGAAUAAUUAGUCUUAUAAAAUUCAAAUAGUUUCAAGGUUGUUUUAAGUAAUUUCAGUCGACUUUUAUAGCAUUUUGAAUAAUAAAUAUAUUUUAUAUAGUUAUAUAUGUAAUUAGUAUAUUUUUAUAAAUAUUCGAAAUCAUAUCAAAAAGAUUUUGUCUUAUUAAUUUAGUCUAGAUUAAACCAUGAUUGUAAUUUUGAAAUUAAUUAGUUUGUAUUUAGGUUAAUCAUAUUUUAUUAAAUUAAUUAUGUUAUUUCGUUAUGAUUAAGAAGCUCGUUAGUUAAUUAUAUUGAUUCUUCUUAUUUAGAGUUUAGCCGAAUUUACCAUUUAAUUCAAACUUGGUCAUAUUGCUAGGUCAAUUUUGACCAAUCGUAAUCUAUAUGAUUAAAUUCUAAAGGAUUUGGCUUACUCCUAUUGAACCAUUUUGUUUUCUAUUAAUUUCAAGACCAUCACAGCCCAUUUCCCAUUCCAAUUCAUCAGCCCAGGCCCACUUUCAUUUGUUCACAAGACCAACAAUACUAUACAUAAUACAUUCAACAACUCCAAACAACGUACAAUACAAACGACCCCAGUACCCACGCUUCUUCUUCCUCGCGUGAACAGCAGCGAACGACGACAAAUCCAGCAGUCCAACUUCUCUCUCCAGAUAGUAUGAUUCCAACAGCUGCGUCCUCUGUCCCACCCGUCCUUCCCUCUUUCCCCUUUCGGAAUGAGUUAAAACCUCAAGAAAAGGGUGUUUGUCCGAAAUGGUGAAAGUUUUCGGAUUUUGAAAUUCAAAUGGUCCCUUGCUUUGAAUCCGAAUUCUAUCCGUUUUCCCCCCUAAAAGGAUUGGAACCCUAAAACCUCUCUAUAAAUACUACCCUCUGUUUUAGUAUCUGGGGGGAUUUUUUGGAUCUUAUUUUUUCAAACGAAAUAGAAGUCAAGUUUUCUUGGUAGAGAAUAACCUUUAGGAAUAAGUAGCAAUACACUCCUUAAUAGAGAUUUGCUAGGACUUCUGCCCAAUUUCCGUGACUACCGUUCGUAUUCGAGUCUCUCUUGGUGAAAGCCGUCACUUCUAGGCUCAUCUCGUCUCGUUCGCUGCCCGGAAAGAGGUAAACUCCUCUUAGCUUUUCUGUUUAAUGCUCAGCUCCUUCGUUAAUUUUAUUUGUGUUAUUAAGAGCGUUGAUGGUAAAAUCAAAUGUUGGCUCGGUAACCUGCCUAGAUUUCUUUUAGAUACGAUAACUAUGUGUUUCAUCAUGGGGGAUUUUCUUUUCGUCUAAAUCGAUGUUUCUGAUCAUAGUAUGUCUCAAAAUCAUGAAUGUUGUUACUCGUAAAUCGUAAAUGAUAAAUACAUCGCUUUAUGUGUAUGAUGCUGGCUCUUAGAAAUCUACUGCUCCUCUCUUGUUCUAGUAUAGUUCCAAGCAUGUUUCAUUAAUUGUUUACCUCAAAAAAUAGCUUCUGGCAUCAUAAUUUCUCCAGUAUUGCCACAUCUCUUACGGUUUUGACUAAAAAAUGAGGUGUUUUGUUUUGUUUUGUUUAAAUCUGAACCUCUCGUGGGCUGUUUAAGCUCAAUGUCACAUCUGUUCAAAUUUCAACUCCCCGAUGUGCUCGUCUUAAUUUCCAUUUCAUACUCAGUACAUCUCUAGGUUUAUUUGUUUCGGUGUAAUUAUUUGUGUAUUAGUUAUCAUGAGUUAGGAUUCGUUAGAUUCACGGUGAAAAUCUUCUUUGUCUUGACUAAAAUUUAGUCACUGUUUUGCUUUAAAAUGUAGAAAAUGCCUUGUCUCUUCUUUUGCCUUUUCAACUAGAAUUCAUUAGCUCUUGAUUGGUUGUUAUUCUAUUUAUUUCCAUGUGUUGAAAAUAAUAAGUUGAAUCAAUAUGUCCAUUAUUAUCAUAUACUGAUUCUAUUUUUUUUUUCUUUUGCGUAUGUGAUAUUCCGAGAGAAUCCAUUUUGGUUUCGACCUUUUUUUCUCCAUUUGCAUUUUCGGUUGGGCCACCAUAGGCCCAAACACGAGUCAUUUGCGAUUCGGUAUUUGUUCGAAUCAUAUUGGCAACCAAUAUAGAACAGUGAGGCUGAAAUAUGGUUCCGGAAAGCUGAAACAACCUGAGAUACAGCCUGUAUACAUAGAUAUACAGCGGGACAUACUGAUAUACAGGUUAAAACGCAGCAGCCACAGGUCAAAAAAUAAAGGAUGGGGUCGGAAGCUGAAAUACAGGUCCUAGAAUCUCAGAAAAAUGGGUUGUAUACAUCCGAUAUACACGGAUAUACACCGGAUAUAUACAAAAACGGGUUUAAGAUUAAACCCCAAAAUUUCAGCGAAUUUGGCCCAAAAAGAGGCCCAAAUUCAAUUUCUCCCUUACUCUUUAAUUAUUUAAUUAUGAUUAUUUAUUGUUCGUUGUUUAACUCUAACUUUAUAUUUGUUAAUUAACUUAAUUAAAAUCCCCAAAAGAUGAACCGUAUUCUUUAUGUUAGAUAUAUUUCAACAAAAUUUCCUUUUUAUCAACUCUCCUACUAUUAUUGAAAACUUUUACUUAAUUUUCGGUUAAUUUAAAAUAGUUUCCAUACUUUGAUUGACCAAAUGGGCCUAAAUUAUUAUUUUUAAGGGAUUCAAAAAUAAAAUAAAAAUUCUAAUUAAUCUAGAUUUGCCAAAUGCUAAUUGCUUACAAAUUAAUUCGAGUAUUCCAGUUAAAGAUUCAAUUUUCCUAAGAAACUAAGAAUUGUUCUUUUUAACUAUUUUUCUCAAAAUUGAUCAAAUAUUAUAAGUUAUUAUGUCAACAAAUCAUUUUUUUUAAAAGAUUAGUGAAAGUCAUUUUUAGUCAAAUUGCCGGUCAACCGCAAGUUAGCGGGCAUUCCGAGGGCCAAACACCUUCUCGGAAUGUACAUUUGAACUCGAACCCUUUUUCAAUUGAUUUUAUCUGUUUAAAUCUUUUGAAAAAUCUUGUAUUUUUUCUUGAUUUUUUAAUAAAAAUUAAGUGGCGACUCUGUCCUUUUGGAAAUUCGAUUUCACUUAAAUCGCCUGGCCCCGAUCAAGCCUCAAGGGCUAAGGGCCUAAGGGUUGGGCUUAUAAGCCUCGAUUUUAAACGGGCUUGAAAAAUCAUAUCCCAACCCUGCCCCAAUAACGGGUUGGGCUGGGCUGGCCCUAUGGGCUAAGCCCUUUUUGACGGCUCUAUAUUUUAUACUUGCUUAUGUGACUUGAAUAUGUUUUUAUUUUUGAAUUCUCAAAUAGGUAACAUAAUAUAGAUGUUUGGGUUUUGGUACCUUUUAGUUAGAAACAACCUUUAUUAGUCGCUUUAGCUUUUAUAAACUUCAUUUGGCAAAUUCUUUUUAAACACUUCUUUUUGCACCACUUUAAACUCACUAGAUUUAUUUAAUUUUGUUCAAACUUGACAAUGUCUUUCAAAAAUAUAUAUAAUAUAUUUUGUUCUAAACUCUUAUUUUUUCUAAAGGGAGCACUUUGUCAAUCAAUGAGCAAAUGUCUAAUUUAAUUACCUUUUUCAGCCAUGGACUACGAAUUUGUCUAAAUUGAUCUAAAGAAAUUACUUUCUUAAAUCUUUUUCAUUCUAAUAAAGUUGCAAAAGAGCUUUUAAAAUAAAAAAUAUUUUCCAACUUGGUUACUCAAUUACUUAAUUUCUAGCACUCAUAUCAUUCUUUUAAAUUUAAUUAACCUAAGUUUGGUCGGUUAACUGUUUUUUACGGAUCUUAAAGGAUGCCUUAUCCCUUUCCUUUAGGAUAAAUUAGAACCCGUACCUAGAAUCAUGCAAGUUAAAUAGACCAUUUAAUUGAAGUUAUUUUAGUAUUACUUAGUUAAAUAUUUAGGUGUCCUAAUUCACCAUAAUUAAUUAGGUGGCGACUUUUUAAGUUAAUUAAUUUAGAAUCACCAAAAUGUUAUACACCGUUUGGACCUCGAGUUAAAAUGGGGUAUAACAAUACAUAUGAAUAAUUUGUACUUAAAAAGAUCCAAAAAAAUAAUAAUAAUUCUAUUUUGUAUAUUGAAAAAAAAAACAUAUUAUGUUGCAGAUGAAGAGAAAUAUCAAUAUUGUUUUAUAUAUCAGUUAAAAACAUUACAGUUACUCAAUAAAUGUAAUAUUUUUCGUUACAACAUUAAUGCUUCGAUUAAUUCAAGCAUGUGGAUGUUCGUUAUUAAAUAAUCACACAACUUAUUUUGUCACCUCACUCACACAGCCACACAAUAUCUUUAUAAAAGUUUUCACUUUAAUUAUUGUAUUCUAAAUAAACUUGAAUGAAAUGUGUAGUUUAACACUUGAUGGAGAUAUUCUGAGCUAUACAUCAGAGACGGAUCUAGAAUUUAAGUUUUAUGCAUUCAAUAUUAUUUUUAAAGUUAUAGGUUCACAUCUAUUAUUUGUUAUAAUUUUCAUGAAAAUUUAUAUAUAUAUUUUGCAUGUAUGGUGCAGUGAAUAUCUUAGAUUAGUGUAUUUUAUUAUCAUGGUUUUUGUAAUAUUUCAUUUUUUUUUAUGUAGGCACCUAACAUAGCAUUAGAUAGGGGUGUACAAAAUCGAACCGAAAAUCGAACCAAACCGCAAACCGAAAAAAAAAACCCGACUAGUGGUUUGGUUUUGUAUUGAAAAAAAAUCCGACUAUAUUUGGAUUGGUUUGGUUUUAACNNNNNNNNNNNNNNNNNNNNNNNNNNNNNNNNNNNNNNNNNNNNNNNNNNNNNNNNNNNNNNNNNNNNNNNNNNNNNNNNNNNNNNNNNNNNNNNNNNNNNNNNNNNNNNNNNNNNNNNNNNNNNNNNNNNNNNNNNNNNNNNNNNNNNNNNNNNNNNNNNNNNNNNNNNNNNNNNNNNNNNNNNNNNNNNNNNNNNNNNNNNNNNNNNNNNNNNNNNNNNNNNNNNNNNNNNNNNNNNNNNNNNNNNNNNNNNNNNNNNNNNNNNNNNNNNNNNNNNNNNNNNNNNNNNNNNNNNNNNNNNNNNNNNNNNNNNNNNNNNNNNNNNNNNNNNNNNNNNNNNNNNNNNNNNNNNNNNNNNNNNNNNNNNNNNNNNNNNUUUUUAUUGAAUAUUUUUGUGUCAUCAGUACUAAUCUCAUAUUUUGUGUAGUUUUUUAAGAAACACCUUAGAUAAUUGUAUUUUGGUUGGACUAAAGAAAUAUUUGAAGCACAAGUUAAUUAUAUGUUUGUAUGCAAACUUUACCGAAAAAAUUCAAAAAUCUGAAAAAAUCUGAGGUUUAUUAGUUUGGUUUGAUUUAUAAAUUUAAAAAUUCGACACAAUGGUUUGGUUUGGUAUUUGAAAAACCCGAAUCAACCCGAGGUUGAAAAACCCGAAAAAAUCCAAAUUUUAUUAGUUUGGUUUGGUUUAUAAAUUUAAAAAUUUUACACAAACGGUUUGGUUUGAUAUUUGAAAAAUCCGAACCAACCCGGUCAUGUACACCCUAGCUAUAGAGAGCUUUCUUAAACAUACCGAGGAGUUGUUUGCUUUCUCUUCCUCUCUUUCUUCUUGAUUUUGUUUUCCUCUUUCCAUGAUUGUAACUUUCCUUUCAAGUUCUCAGGAUCGGACGUAUAAAAAGUACCUACAUAAAACUUUACUCUUUAGUAUUUGUUAGCAUUUGUAUUUUCAACACAACAAAAGUAUAGUAUAUAUUAUUCUUAUUAAUUUUGUUGAGAUAUUGAUCAAGGUUAGAUGAAUUUUUUUUGACGAAUAGUAAUUUUAGAUGCAAUUAGUCCCUAACAACUAGAAAUGUCAAAUAUUAAUCACAUAUAACAUGUUAUGGCGUGAAAAAAUAAACAUAAUAUCCCAAAGUUGUUGCAUUUUAAGAAAAAGAAGAUGAAGGAAAAUACAAGUCCCAGAUAUUCGAGAAAACAAAACCUAUCAAUACAAAUAUCUUUCCUGUUUUUAUGCCUCGUAUAUUAUUUUAGCUACCCUCCUUAUCAUGUUCUUUCAUUCCUUCAAACCAUAUGAUAUACGAAACUCAAUUUUGUAAAUAUAUACGUCUACCUAAUAUUCAUAUUACAAGUUGACUAAGACUUGUGGAGAUGGUGUUGUGGUUUAUGAGAAUUGAUGGAAGCCUACGAGCAACAAUAAAGUUGUCUCCAUGUAACAGUAAAGAAGCCACUAAUAUUUCUACAGUAUCCUCUUGGGGUGCGAUCCUUCCAUUAAUCCUACCAUUUUCUUCCUCCUCCUAUCUUUCUCUUUCAUUUCUUCUUUCCAUGAUUGUACUUCCCAAUAGUCAAUACCAAAGGGUAUGAAGGUCAUAGAAGAAAACAAUUAUGCAGAUAUAGUCAGACAUAUAAAAAGUCAUUUUCGAGAUAUUGAUCAAGGUCAAAUAUCAAAUGGUGCUUACAAAACGUUAUCCACAAUGUUAAUUUACACACAAAAAAAAGAAGAAGAGUAGUUUAUAAGUAGUACUUAACAAGAUCCCAAAUUCUCGGUAAUAGUACCAAGCUUUCCUUAGCUUUUGUGGGGGAUAGCGAUCUAGGCCUCCACUAUGUUCUCUCUGGUUGUGAGAGGCUCCGUAAGUUGGAGAUUAGAAACUGCCCCUUUGCAGGGGCGGCCCAACAGAUCUCGUGGCCUAAGGCAAAAUCAUAUUAAGAGGCCCUUAAAUUUAUUUUAUAAAAUUUAUACACUAACAAAAAAAUUUAUUUUCUACACAAUAGAUUAAUUAUUUAAGACAAAAAAUAACAAAUUUCAUACAAAAAAAAAAGGAAGAAGAGUAAAAAAAAUAAAGUGAUGGAUUAUCGAUGUUAAGCUUCAAAUCUCAAAUUGAAAGUUUAAUUUGGCUAUCAUCAAAUAAGAAAAAAGAAAAAAACCACUAUAUCAAAAAUGAUCUUUGCCGCUAAAUUAAUUAACAACAAUAGCUCAAUUGCCGCUAAAUAUGUAUUUUUAGCGGCAAUUAACACUCUUUGUAUAUGUCCCUAAAGCCUUUAGCGACAUUGAAUCUAAUGACACUUAACUAAUGCCGGUAAAAACUUUAGCAUUCUUUAUUAAUGUAUCUAUUUAUCGCCACUAAAAGUUGUUUUUGUUGUAGUGAACAUUAACUUAAUAGUUAAGGUUUUGAGUAUGGAUAGUAAGAAAAAUAUAUACACCUUCUUAUCAAAUUUAUGAUCAAUUUAAAUGAUACAAUUUUUUUUAAAUGAUAUAAUUCAUUCCAUUAAGUAGCACUCAUUGGUGAAUAUCUAAAAUAAAUUAUAAAACUUUCAUAUAAUAUAUUAAAUUAAAGUUAAUUAUUAAGGUUUUGAGUAUCGAUAGUAAUAACAAAAAUAUAUACACCUCCUAUCAAGUUUCUGAUCAAUUUAAAUGAUAUAAUUCAUUCCAUUAAGUAGCACUUAUUGGUGAAUAUCUAAAAUAAAUUAUAAAACUUUCAUAAAAUAUAUUAAAUUAAAAUGUAAAGGAAACUUGUGCAUGAAUGUUUUUGUGUUCGCGCAGUUUAAGAAAAGAUUGAAACAAAAAAUCAUUAUGUUAUCACAUAUAGAACUUAGUUCCUAUAUAAAAAGGAUAAAAUUUAAAAUCGGAAGUUAAAACAAAGAUAUCAAAUAAUAAGAUGAAAAGAUUAUGAGAUUUUAUGAAUUUAUUGGUAAAAAAUACUCUCAAAGAAAUAAUAAUAAAAAAUAUACCAUAAAAAUUUUAUUUAUAUAAAUUAUAUUAAUAUAUAAUAAAAUCAAUAACAAUAAUUUAAAUAAUUUGGGGCCUUCAAAUUUUUGAGGCCUAAGGGAAUGACCUCACUGGCCAUGCCUUAGAGCCGCCCCUGCCCCUUUGGCGAUGAGGCUCUGUUGGCUAAUGCUGCAAAGCUGGAGACAAUGUGAUCCCUUUGGAUGUCUAAUUGUUCAGUAAGUUUUGAAUCAUGUAAGCUACUACCCCAGAAGUUGCCAGGGCUUAAUGUUGAAGUUAUAGAUGAGAGGGGUCAUCCGGAUAUGAGACCAGAAAGUUGCCCUAUUGAGAACCUUUAUAUAUACAGGAAAGUGUCAGGAAGGAGGUUUGACACUCCUGGUUUUGUUUGGAUUAUUGAUGAAGAUGCAGCAUUGACUCCAUAUAGCAACGGGAAUUGGUCUCUGGCUUCUUCUUAGGAAGACUUCAGGUAUAAGUUCUAUGUUAAUCUUUCACCCGCGUUUACUUGCUUGAGCCUUGUGUAGUUGCAGUGCUGGUUAUGGUGGCAGUGAAGUGAUUUGACCCUUUGUUGAGCGACUUCGCAGCAAUUAAUUACAAAUAAUGAGUUUAAGCUCUUGUUGUUGUGCUAUAUCAGUAAGGACAACUAUUGUAUUUUUGUGAUGGAGGGGGGGAUGUUCAACUGUGUAUCCUAUUUUGUAUCAUUAUGUAGCAGUUUAACUUUCUCUAGUGACUUGUUCUUCUGUUGAAAUGGUGCUGUCAAUGUACUUCUCUGGUCAUGUAUUGUUGUAAUUCCCUUUGAAGAUUAAUAUGAACCCUUCAUUCAUUUGAGUGCUGGAAAUCUCAUCUGUUGAACGUUUAGAAGAAGGUAUUGCAGUGUUCUACUACGAGUCAGUUUGAUACACAAACACUUAUUUUCGUUCAGAGUGGGAUUUCAGCCUAAGUUGGUUGUAUGUUCGAGGAGAGGAAGUCACGAGUGCUUAUAAGCUCACUUCACGGCCUAGCUUUUGUGAUGAAAGUUCGUUGGGUUUGUGACAGUAGUAUCAAUGUCGUUUUAAAUCAGUACCUUGAUUGAGGUUAAACGAUCAUGCUUUGCGCACAUAAGAUGGGACUUCAGACCAUGUUAGACACAAAGGAGGUAUAACCAAAGGCAAAUCCACAGUGUAAUGUAUGAAUUUAAAUAGGGAUAAUACAUAUAUUUGACCUUAAACUUGGCUUCAAAUUUUAACUUUGACCUCCAACUUUCAUAGUGCACAAACAAGCACUUUAACUAUCCAACCUUUUAAUAAAUAAACACGCGAUUUUUGGAUCCAAGAGCGUGAAAAGCACACGCUGCCACGUGUAUUAUUGAGCCACUCAAUGGCUGCCAACUAAUUAAACACUUUACACCUCCAUUUUAGAACUAAAAAAAAAUAAAUUAAUCAAGGGUAGAGUUGUCAUUUCAGCAUUUUUUUCACUGUUGUGUGCCUCAAAAAUUACUUCUCACUCGCGCAAAAUGCGUGCACAUCACGCGUUUUGCCAGGUAAGACACGCGUGUUUAUUUAUUAAAAGGUUGGAUAGUUAAAGUGUCUAUUUGUGCACUUUGAAAGUUGGAGGUCAAAGUUAAAGUUUGAAGCCAAGUUUAAGGUCCAAUAUAUGUAUUAUGCCAUUUAAAUAUGUGAUUGUGAAUCUAAUUAUUAUUGAUAUAAACGUGAGGUCGCCAUAAAAACACAUCAAAUCCUGGAUUCGUCUUGCAUACGAUAAUAUAGACGGAUAAUAUCGCAUUGUACAAGAAAAUUAAUGUGUGUGAGUGCAAAGAAAAAAAUAAAGAGAGAAUGUACAAGGGCAAACAAGAAUAAGAGAUACCUAGUAACAAAAUACUGUACUAUUGUAAGAAAAGCUGUCUGCCAAAAAAGUGUAUAAAGUAAAAGUACAGAAAGCAGUGAUAGGAAUAGUAGUUUGGUGUACAAGAUUAAUGUUUAGAAUAUCAACUUUAGAUAGUCACUUCAAUUUGGCAUCAACAUCAUAUAUAAGCGCUUACCUUAAACUGACGUAUGAUCAAGUGUCAUUUCAUGCAACUUCAAAUAUUUGAGAUUCUCAAAGGUGUCUUCCUCCCCCAUGUUCCAUUCUCCCCCCUGAAUGAUUGUACGAUAAAGGGACAACUCUUCAAGGUUCGGCAGUCUCGCUAUUGUUGAUAGUGAAUCGGAUGUCAGAGGAAAGUCACCCAACGACAAAUUUUUCAAACUAGAAGGGAAGUGAAAAUCCCAUGGCCGAUUUAUGGCUGCAGAGGACCUAUUGUCAUUUGUGUUUGAACUUUCAAAACCUACAGUGAGGUCUUCUAGUUCAGUUAGGCAAUCCAAUUUCGGGAACCGGUAUUGCUCUGUUGAAUAAUCCCAUGAUUCCUUGAGUUCAAACUGAAGUCAAUUGAAGAUUGGGAAACCUUUUGAAAAUAUCCUCUGUAUCUUUCGAAUAGGAAAGCAUGAGUUUCCCUAAUACUCUCAACUUGUAAUGACCCUCCUGGUCAUUUCUGUGCCUUGCAUUUUGUGUGUCGUUUAGAGCGUUCCUGUAGCGACCCCAAGUCAUUUAUGACUUGCUGGGACUGACAGUUCGGUCACCUGGUCGUUCUUUUGGUUAUGGUGUGAGUUUUAGUGUUUUGGAGCUUAUGAAUCUUAAACGAUCAUUUUCGAUCAAAAGUUUGAGAAGAUGACAUCGGAAUCCAAUUCUGACGAUUCCAUCAGCUCCAUAAGGGUCAUUUUAGGCUAGUAGCAUGGUCGACAUGACUCCCGAGGUUUUCAGUGUGAGUCGGUGCGAUUAGGCGUUUUAGGCCUUUGAAAUUUAGCUUAAGGUUGACUUUGGUCAACAUUCUUGGAAAAACGCGCUCAGAUGAAAAUUCCGUCAGCGCGGUUAGCUCCGGGAUGUCAAGUUUGGUCUAGAUUGACCCUUCUUUUGUGUCUGGAGGUUUUUGAUAUUUUUCUGAGCUCUUUUGUGGUUUUUGAUUUAAAUUGGCAUUUGGAGGUGGGACCCACUUUUUAUCGAAAUGACCUCUGAUGGAAAUUUCGACUGCGCCGUUGAGUCUGGAAUAUUGAAUUUGGUAUGGUUGCAUAUCUCGUUUGUGUGCAUGGGGUUCCGAACGAGUUUGGAGCACUCCGUCGGAGUUUUAAAAUUUUGGAAAAUUUUUUGCAGCAAUCUGCUAUUAUUGCAGAAAAACCAGCAACAUUUCCAAACUUCAAACUCUCAUAACUCUCUCAUCUCUCAACCGAUUUGGGCGAUUCAAAAGGCAAGGUUGUGAGAUUUUUCGUGGGCAACGAGUUGGUGAGCUCGGAUAGUGAUUUGGGGUCCCCGUUUGAGGUAAUUUUUAUAAAAUACCUGCUGCCAUGAUUCUUUUUUGUGAGCUUGAUUUUGGAAGAUUUUGAGACUUGUUUUCUCAGCCUUUCUAGGUCCGGUUUCAGUUGAUUUUUGAGGCUAUCUUGAGUGGUUUUUCGAGGAGAACGUCGUGGUGUUGUCGCAUUUUUACUGUAGACCGCCCGUUUUCUGGUAAAUACACUGAUUCAACUGCUGUCCCAUUUCUAGUUUUUGGAGAAAAUUUGGGUUUUGGUUGCAUGUUGAUAUUGUGUUAUUCUCGAGCCCUGAAUUGUGUCCCAUGUUGGGACAUGAGCUAGGGGAACUGGUUAGGACCCACUUUUGGGGUUAAUUCCAGAAUUUCCAAUGCGGGUCCCACUUUCCCCGUUUUGACCCCGAAAUUGGUCCGUCUCUGUUUGUUGUGAUUUUGGUGUCUAAACGACCGUAAUAACGUUGUGACUCUAUUUUUGAUAGAGGGGUAGCAUUUCGAGGACGUUCGGAAAGGGAAAGCUCCGGAGAAGUGAUUUUGAAGCGCGUGUGAUUGGCCUACAGGUAGGCUACGGUUUCCCCCUCUUAGAUUGAGCUUGAGAGUGUGAAUGCAUGUUGAUUAGUUGGGAUUUGGGUUAGUUGUUAUUGAAUCAUGCAUAGUUGUUUAGAAAUCAUGUUUUUGGCCUAUUUCGAGAAUUAUCGGGUAAUUGUGAGCAUGAUUUGUGUUAUUAAUUGACCCUCCUCGCUAUGUGAAAUGCUUGCAUGCUUAAUUAUUGUUUAUUUGAAGCAUGUUNNNNNNNNNNNNNNNNNNNNNNNNNNNNNNNNNNNNNNNNNNNNNNNNNNNNNNNNNNNNNNNNNNNNNNNNNNNNNNNNNNNNNNNNNNNNNNNNNNNNNNNNNNNNNNNNNNNNNNNNNNNNNNNNNNNNNNNNNNNNNNNNNNNNNNNNNNNNNNNNNNNNNNNNNNNNNNNNNNNNNNNNNNNNNNNNNNNNNNNNNNNNNNNNNNNNNNNNNNNNNNNNNNNNNNNNNNNNNNNNNNNNNNNNNNNNNNNNNNNNNNNNNNNNNNNNNNNNNNNNNNNNNNNNNNNNNNNNNNNNNNNNNNNNNNNNNNNNNNNNNNNNNNNNNNNNNNNNNNNNNNNNNNNNNNNNNNNNNNNNNNNNNNNNNNNNNNNNNNNNNNNNNNNNNNNNNNNNNNNNNNNNNNNNNNNNNNNNNNNNNNNNNNNNNNNNNNNNNNNNNNNNNNNNNNNNNNNNNNNNNNNNNNNNNNNNNNNNNNNNNNNNNGGCCUCAUAUACUUGAUACUUGUGAUUGGUUACUUAGGUACUUUUGGUGAGCAUCCGGUUCGAGGUCCGGCCUCCGUACUUUCAGAUUUUACUAAUUAGGGUUGAGGUUCUGAUUCGUGUUCUCUGUUCUUGGGUUCCCUUAUGCAAUUCUCUUUAGUUAUAGUUAUUCUGUGUACUCAUCGGGCUUAUGGGGGUCCGUUUGAGUUGUUAUUUAACUUGCGCCCGCGUGUACCUUCUGGACUUAUGGGGGUCCAGUUAGGUGUAGUUAGCUUAUUGAUUACUUUAGUUAGUUCUUUGUACACUCGUGUGCAUUCCUUUGUUAGUGAGAUUUUUGUUCUUGACCUCGAUUUGUGUAUUCCUUCUUUUCAUAUUGCCUUUACUUUUCUAGUUCAGUUGGCCUAUGAUGCCUACUGGGUACCUGUGAUUUUGGUACUUAUGCUACGCUCUGCAUCUGUUUCGUGAUGCAGGUCCGGGCACUAGUAGCCAGCGUUGAUCAAGCUUGGAGCAGACUGAUCCGGAGAUGGGGGUGAGCACACGGCGUUUUGUACUAAUUCAGUCUCCAUCUGUAUAUAUAGACUUGUCUUUUACCUUUCGAGACAGUCCAGUCUCUGUUGUCCACUUUUGGGACUUGUACUCAUUUUGUUAGUAGCUCUGUACUAGUAACUUCCAGGUUCUAGGAGGGAUCUUUAUUUGUAUAUAUGUUUUUGGUUUGCUUCUGCCUGUUUAUAUUGUUAUUUACCUACUCUUGUUUAGUUUCUACCCUCAGACCCAUUACUUGUUGUUCCGGGUUACAGGUUGGCUUACCUGCUGGUGGGUUAUAGUAGGUGCCAUCAUGACUUAAGAAAUCGGGUCGUGACACAACUUCUGUAACUUUGUGUCCUCUGCUAUCAGUAUUGAUUCAUCUGCAUCCAUAUCAAAGAAAGAACAAGCACUCAUGGACAACACUCGCAACUUUACAAGAUCCCAAAUUCUCGGUAAUAGUAUCAAGGUUGAUUCUUCGUUAUACACCGACAUGCUUUCUAGAUUCCAGAGGUUUGAGAAAGACAAAGGCAGAGAUUCAACUUGUGUCCCAAUGUAUAAGAACCUCAAAUGAUUCAACAUGCAUAUUUCAUUCAGCAAAGAAUCUUUCACAUUGAUAAAAGAGGGAUCCAGGUACAACCCUCUAAGAAGCCUCAAGUGUCUUAGGUGAAAUGUAUCAGGAAGACGGUCAUCCAGUUGGUCUCCGUUUAUGGUCAAAGAAUAGAGGUGUUUACCAGAAUGCCUUUUCUUAUUUGAACCAAACAAGACAAAAUUAAGCCCAAGGGCUCCUCAUCAUAAUCAAUGGUAAUUUGACGUGGCAACAAAUAUGAUGGAGAACUUGAACUUAUCUUGUCAAACAACUUUUCCUCUCUUGCUUUUAUCAAACAAAAGUCAUUCACAAGAUCAUGAAGUUUGUAAGUCAGGUCAUCACCUAUCUCAUUGAAACAAAUUACCAAGCUACUGGAAAUUAAGUUAUCCAAAUAAAUCUUCACCACUUCUUCCAUCUUUUCGACAAACCCUUCAGCAACCCAUACAGCUUUCAACUUAUAGAUUGGGUUGCACUGUCCUUCGGCUUACUUGCAAAAUGAAGCAAGCAUGGCUUCAGGUGAUCAGGUAAGUGGUCAUAACUUAUUUCUAUAACUUUCAUCACUUCCACUUCAUUCUUCAAAAUAAAGGACUGCAAAUUAUUUACAACUUCAAGCCACAUGCUCUUUUUCUUUUCCCUCCCAACAAUGACUCCAGCAAUCAGAUCCACCACCAAAGGAAGCCCUUUACAAUUUUCGGCUAUUUCUUUACCAACAUCCAAAAGUUCAUCAGGGCAACCCUUGUUUCCAAAUGCCCUUUUCUCUAAUAACUCCCAACUUUCUUCUGAUCUUAGCAAUCGAAGAUUAAAGUUCCAACAUCCAAUAGUUCAUCAGGGCAACUCUCGUUUCCAAAUGCCCUUUUCUCUAAUAACUCCCAACUUUCUUUUGAUCUUAGCAAUCGAAGAUUAAGAGGAGCAGUGUAGAGCUUUCCAUGCAAAGCCACUUCUUUUUUUCGAGUUGUCAAAAUAAUUCUACUUCCUUUCUCAACUUCUGGAAAAGGUCUUGUUAACUCAUCCCACGUAGUAGUAUCCCACACGUCAUCUAAGACAAUAAGAUACCUCUUUCCAUACAGUUGUUUCCGUAGCUUAUCAACAACAUCAAUAUUCUUAAUCAAUUUUGAAUCCGAGCCAUUAACUUGAUUAAAAAUUUUAUUCAACAAAUUCUUCUCGUCAUAUUCUUGGUCGACUGUGCACCAUGCACGAAGGUUGAAAUGACUAGAAAUUGAUUUAUCAUUGUAUACUUUGUAUGCCAAAGUAGUUUUACCUGAACCCGGCAUACCAGUGAUCGAAAUGACAUCUAGAUCUGUUGGUCCACCAAUGAGCUUUCUAAGUAUCCAUUUUGUCUCCUCCUCAAAACCAACAAUUAUUUUACUAGUUGUCAAUGACUUGCUCUCAAUGGGCUUCUUGGAAGAGUUCACGACAAUGAGACCUUUGUUCUCGGGAAUCUUCUCAUAUAACUUGGAGAUAUCUUCUUUGAUAAGCUUGAUCCUUUUUAUUUAGUUUGCAGAACUAAAUUGCUUGUUUAUUAUAUCAACAUUACAUGUAUAUAUACACUAGAAAAAGCAUCAACAAAGGUAAGAAAAUAUCAUACAUAUCUCUUAUGAUUCCUACAGAUAUCUCCUAUCUAUAUAAGGUAAUAGAAUAUAUUUACAAUAUUCUGUAACACUCCCCCUCAAGCUGGAGCAUAUAUAUUGAUCAUGUCCAGCUUGUUACACAAAUAGUUAACUCGAGCUCCAUUCAAUGCCUUUGUGAACAAAUCAGCUAGUUGCUCUCCGGUCUUCACAUAGCCUGUGGAAAUCAGGUUUUCUUGAAUCUUUUCACGAAUAAAAUGGCAGUCCACCUCAAUGUGCUUAGUUCUUUCAUGAUACACUGGAUUUGAGGCGAUAUGAAGAGCAGCUUGAUUAUCACACCAAAGUUUCGCGGGUGUGGGAUACUUCAACCCAACUUCACUUAAGAGGUGAUGUAUCCACAUAAUCUCACAUGUGGAUUGUGCCAUAGCUCUAUACUCAGAUUCUGCACUAGAUCGAGAUACAACAUUUUGUUUCUUACUUCUCUAUGACACCAAGUUUCCACCCACAAAGACACAAUAGCCAGUAGUAGACCUUCUAUCAAUUUUGGAUCCAGCCCAAUCAGCGUCUACAAAACACUCAAUGCGAGUAUGUCCAUUAUUGCUAUAUACUAUGCCAAGUCCAAGGGCGCCUUUCAAGUAACAUAAUAUUUGCUCCAAAGCUGCCCAAUGUUUGACUCUAGGCGUGGUCAUGAAUUGACUAACAACACUAACUGCAAAAGCAAUAUCCGGACUAGUUACAGUGAGAUAGUUUAAUUUCCCAACUAAUCUCCUGUAUCUCUCUGGAUCAUCGAAAGGAUCACCAUCAUCUUUUGUUAGCUGUAUAUUGGGAACCAUUGGAGUACUACAAGGCUUGGCUGCUGACUUUCCAGUCUUCUCAAGAAGGUCAAGGAUAUACUUUCUUUGAGAUAAAAAUAUCCCCUUCUUACUCCUACUUACUUCUAUUCCCAAGAAGUAUUUCAAUUGUCCCAAGUCUUUCGUUUGAAAUGUCGAAUGCAAGAAAGAUUUGAGAGAAGAUAUUCCUGCAUAAUCACUCCCAGUGAUGACAAUGUCAUCAACAUAUACAACAAGAAGAAUAAUGCCAACUGUUGAUUGUCUGUAGAAGACCGAAUGAUCACAUUUGCUCUUUGUAAGCCCAAACUUCUGAACUACCUCACUAAAUUUCCCAAACCAAGCACGUGGACUUUGUUUCAGACCAUACAAGGAUUUCUUCAAGUGACAAACUUUCCCAUUCUCCCCCUGAGCAACAAAACCGGGUGGUUGCUCCAUAUACACUUCUUCUUGGAGAUCACCAUGAAGAAAUGCAUUCUUGAUAUCCAAUUGAUGUAGCGGCCAAUUCUUAGAAGCAGCUAGAGAAAUAAACAAGCGAAUGGAAGUGAGUUUGGCCACAGGAGAAAAAGUAUCAGAAUAAUCCACCCCAUACGUCUGAGCAUAUCCCUUAGCAACCAAUCUGGCUUUAAGCCUAGCCACAGAACCAUCAGGAUUUACUUUGACUGUAAAAACCCAUUUACAUCCCAGUGCCUUCUUCCCUUUUGGUAAGUCCACUAAAUUCCAAGUGUGAUUGUCAUCUAACGCAUGUAUCUCAUCGAGCAUUGCAUCAUACCACCCAGGGUGAUUCAAAGCUUCUCGAACUGUUUUGGGUACAAAGAUAGAAUCUAAAGAAGCAAUCAAAGAGCAAGAUGCGGGAGACAAGUGGUCAUAUGAGAUAAAAUUAGCAAUGGAAUAUACUGAUUGACACUGAUGCUUACCUUUGCGAAGAGCAAUGGGAAUGCCAAGAUUUUCUGUUGGAGAGGGACUGAUCGGAGGAGGAUCUGAUGACGAAAUAGUUGGUGCAGGACAUGUAUCAUUGGUCACUUGUCUCCUAGAAUAAACUUGAAUUAUCGGCGGCUUUGUUUGAGCAGAAGGAACAUCAGAAGGCACAUUCUCAGUUGACUGCUCAACACUACCACAAACUUCCUUAUGAUGUUCUGAGCUCGGUGGAGUGAUCUUAUAAAUGAGCCAUUCUUCUUCUUCCUGCCCCUGAGUUGGAGAAGUGUCGGGAGAAGAAAAAAAAGGAAAUGUUCUCAGAGAACAUCUAUCGACACCAUAUAUCUGUUAAGGGUUGGAGAGUAGCACCGGUAACCCUUUUGUAAGCGAGAAUAUCCCAAAAAAACACACUUCAAAGCCUUGGGAUCUAGUUUAGUAACAUGGGGUCGCACAUCACGAACAUAACAAGUACUUCCAAACACCUUUGGCUCUAAUGAAAAUAAUGGCUUAUUUGGAAAGAGAACACCAUAGGGAAUAUCACCAUUAAGCACUGUGGAUGGCAUGCGAUUAAUUAAAAGCUAGUUGUGGAUACCGCAUCCGCCCAAAAUUGCUUAGGUACCUUCAUUUGGAAUAGCAAAGCACGAGCAGUCUCAAGCAAAUGUCUAUUUUUUCUCUCAGCUACUCCAUUUUGAGAGGAUGUAUCCACACACGAAGAUUGAUGAAGAAUACCAUAUUGAUUCAUGUAGUUCUGAAAUGAUGCUGACAUGAAUUCUUUAGCAUUAUCACUCCUCAAUAUAUGGAUAGAAACAUUAAAUUGUGUCUUAAUCUCAGCACAAAAAUUAGAGAAAUUGGAGAACACUUCAGAACAAUUUUUCAUAAAGUAAAUCCAUGUCAUUCGGGAAAAANNNNNNNNNNNNNNNNNNNNNNNNNNNNNNNNNNNNNNNNNNNNNNNNNNNNNNNNNNNNNNNNNNNNNNNNNNNNNNNNNNNNNNNNNNNNNNNNNNNNNNNNNNNNNNNNNNNNNNNNNNNNNNNNNNNNNNNNNNNNNNNNNNNNNNNNNNNNNNNNNNNNNNNNNNNNNNNNNNNNNNNNNNNNNNNNNNNNNNNNNNNNNNNNNNNNNNNNNNNNNNNNNNNNNNNNNNNNNNNNNNNNNNNNNNNNNNNNNNNNNNNNNNNNNNNNNNNNNNNNNNNNNNNNNNNNNNNNNNNNNNNNNNNNNNNNNNNNNNNNNNNNNNNNNNNNNNNNNNNNNNNNNNNNNNNNNNNNNNNNNNNNNNNNNNNNNNNNNNNNNNNNNNNNNNNNNNNNNNNNNNNNNNNNNNNNNNNNNNNNNNNNNNNNNNNNNNNNNNNNNNNNNNNNNNNNNNNNNNNNNNNNNNNNNNNNNNNNNNNNNNNNNNNNNNNNNNNNNNNNNNNNNNNNNNNNNNNNNNNNNNNNNNNNNNNNNNNNNNNNNNNNNNNNNNNNNNNNNNNNNNNNNNNNNNNNNNNNNNNNNNNNNNNNNNNNNNNNNNNNNNNNNNNNNNNGAGUGGUUUCAUUCAUUGAUUCCUGAUACUUUGUAAGUCUAGCAUACUCAUCGGUUGAGAUUGUAACAGUUGAGGGUGAACUAGAAGUGGCAGCAACAGUGGCAGUCUGAGUUUGAAGUUGCUGGUUGCGAUUCUGUAAUUUCUUACAGUUUCGCCUUAUGUGCCCGGGUUCCUUACAAUAGCGACAAGUAUUGUCAUUGUUCCAUCUCCCAGCAUCAUUGUUUCCUUCUUUGUUAUUGUUCCAUACCCCAACAUUGUUGUUAUUGUUCCACCUUCCCGCAUCAUUGUUAUGGUUCCAUUUCCCUGCAUCAUUGUUAUGAUAGUUAUUGUUGUUGUUCCACCUUCCCGUAUCAUUAUUAUGAUUUGACUUCCCUACAUCAUUGUUAUUGUUCCAUCUCCCUGCAUCAUUAUUGUUGUUCCAUCUCCCUGCAUUAUUUCUUCCUCUUCCUCCUUUUGCAACAAGCACAUUGGUCUGUUGGAUGGAUGGAGUACUCUCUGUGCGCAACACCCGACUGAAAACAUCUUUGAGAGAGCUGAUCUCAGAACUAGACAGAAUAUGUGAUUUAGCAGUUUCAAACUCAGAUGGGAGUCCUGCUAAAAAACUCAUUAUAGCCAUUUGUUCCCUCUGAGCCUGCUGCACCUUGAUAUCAGUACUGAAUGGCAGAAGUACAUUCAGUUCCUCGUAGGUUUUCUUGAACUCCAUGAAGUAUGUAGUUAGUGACUUAGUUUCCUUCUCAGAAUGAUAGAAAGCCUUACAAACUUCAUAAAUCCUAGAUAAAUUACCUUUGCCAGAAUAUAAAUACUCCAAAUAAUUCAUUAACUCUUUCACAAACUCACAGUGAUUAACUAAACCAACAACUUCAUUGUCAAUAAAGUUUAUAAUUUGUAAGAGUAGUCUAGCAUCAUCUCUGAGCCAAGUCUUUUUAGUAUCAUCAGUUGGAGGAUCCUGGAUAAGAUGGUCAUCCUUUUCAACACUACGCAAGUAGACCCUGAUUUUUCUGCUCCAAUCUGGAAGAGAAGAAAUUAUUAGCCUGCAGUAAUUUAACACCAAAAACCAAUACUGCAGUACGUUGGAAUAGAUGAAACGAUGCUAGGACAGCAAGCCUAGAUGUAUUCUCCAAAACCCAAGUAGCCGAAACCUUUUCCCAAGAUGCUAGGAAAAGUUCUGAAGUUUCUGAACCAAGAUCUUGAGCCCUAGUGGCUCUGAUACCAUGUAGUUUGAAGAACUGAAUUGCUUGUUUAUUAUAUCAACAUUACAUGUAUAUAUACACUAGAAAAAGCAUCAACAAAGGUAAGAAAAUAUCCUACAUAUCUCUUAUGAUUCCUACAGAUAUCUCCUAUUUAUAUAAGGUAAUAGAAUAUAUUUACAAUAUUCUGUAACAAUGGUAAUGGGAAGUGAGAAAAUAAGAUGUAAGAGACCAUUAUCUCUAACAAUAAUAGAAUCAAUGACAUCUUUUGCCUCAUAUGCAACAUCUAAAACACGUGCCCAAAGAUCUUUAUACCAUUUUUGCUCAAUAUUCACAAAAAAAAUCUUAUCGAUUCGAGGUCUUGUUUCAACAGCUCAAUUUCUUCCUUUAUCAAAGCAAUUGAAUAAGCAUUGGAAUCCAGCAAAUCAUCUAAGUGUCUCUGUAGCAGAUGCAUGAAGAGAGGUCCAUCACUCAUGGGGAAGCAACAUUGAGAUGAAUCUGGAACUUUCAGAUAAACAUGUUUGAGAUCUUCCUUGAGGAGUUAAAUAUUUUCCAGCAACUUUAGGGUUGCACGAUUUGUCUCGUCGGUGCUCUCUUUAUUCCUUAAUUUCUCUUCUAAGCCGCGAACAAGAGUUGAUACCUCCCUGGUAAGUGCUCCAACACGAGCCAAAAGAUCAAAUAAUUUGUCAUGAUAAAUAAAGUCCUUGUGCAUAUCAGAAAGAAUAAGUAAUAGGAACUCUAUCAUGAUAUGAAUGUUUCGAUCCCCUGAAGUGCUAGCAGUAAUAACAGUUACCAUGUGCUCUUGCAGAUGAAUUAGAUAUUCCCUCAGAAUAGCUGGAGAGGUUUCUAGAAGCUGCUUAAUAAAGCGUCCAACUUCAGCUGAAGUUGAAGCUUUCAAAUUUGUAUAACAUAUGUGCAUAACCUCCAGUUCAACUGGAACAAUCUUCAAGAGUAAAUGUGCUAGCUUGAAGAGUCGAGAGUCUCUAUCAUUCUGAUAAUCCUCAUCUAACUCGGAGAGUUGAGAGUCUUCAUCAGUCAGAUCAUCCUUAUCUAGCUUGGAGAUUCGACCAUCUUCAUCAGUCUGAUCAUCCUCAUCUAUCUCGGAGAGUUUAGAGUCUUCAUCAAUCUAAUCCUCCCAAAGGAAGUGUCCUACUCUCUCAGCCAUCAGUUGAAACUGAGGCAAGACAUAUUUAACUAUCUCGUGCUCAAUGUAGCCAUUCACUAUCAACCCAUGGAAAUCUCUUACGUUGCCACAUACAUAUUGGAGAACCUCAUAUUGAAUCUCUAAUGGAAACAUCUUUUUAGCACGAUACUUGGAUAGAUGAUGGAGAUUCAAGACGAGGAAGUUCAAUUGCUUAUCUGUUAUGGUGGCAUCUGAUUUAGAACGAAUGCAAGCUGAUACGGUCAUCCACAUUACGGGCGAGGCUAGUAAGGACAUAUUUACACCCGACGUUGUUGUCAUCAUCAUCCAACAUUGGUUGAAGGAGAUUCUUAACCUCUUGUCUUUUUCUAGUCAUUAUGUCUUCAAACUGCUCCAAAUCGAAAUAAGAAAGCUGGACAUAUGUACAAAUAAAUGUCAGGUUCAAUUUAAGCUUUUCAAUUAGAUCUACAUCAAUAGCUUUUUGAUCUUCUUCAUUCUGUAAUCUCUCCAUGAAAUCUAGAACAUUGGCAAUGUCCUUGCGAAGAGCAGAAAACGAUACCUGCCAAAAGACCAACUGUGAUACUCGUAUCAAAUUUACAGCCACAUUUCUACCAUGCAAUAUGUUAUUCUAUACAGGCACAUAACAUAGCUAUACCGAUGAGUUGUUUGCUUUCUCUUCCUCUCUUACUUCAUGAUUUUCUUUUCCUCUUUCCAUGAUUGUAAUUUUCACUAGUCCGUGAAAAAAGUAAAAUUUCCUUCUUUCCCCUUCAAGUUCUUAAAAUCUGAUGUAUAAAGAUCACCUACAUAAAACUUUAUCAGGAGAAAGAAGAGGAAAAGUUGUAGAAAAACAAUACAAUAAACAAUUUUCAUUCAUCCCACCACACUCCGAGACCUUUGAUUAAGAGAGCUUAAGCAUAAUCUUACCUUUUGGCAUAUUUUUGUUAGACAGGUUGAAGUAAUAGGUUGAAAGACAAAUCAAAUAGCUAGAUCUAGAUUUAGAAUUCCAACAUUAUUCAAAUAUAAUUCAUCGAAUUCUCUAGUCUUUUAAACACCUAAAGUGCUCACUUCAACAAAUUUAAAAGAACCAAAAUUACUCAGAAGUAUCUUUAAGAGAUAAUUUCAAACAUAAGGGAUCAUUUUCUCAACCAUCCUCAUCAUGUUAUUAUGUUGUCAAUAAAUCAAAAGAAAAAUCGAUUCUGUUAUAUCUUCAGAGUCGUAAUGAAAAAUGAAAUCCCAGGUAGAAGCUUGAGAAAACAAGAGACUUUGAAGAUAGAUCUUACCUUGUCACAGUCUGAAGUUUAGCAAUAAUGUUGAAGAGUGACAAAGUGCAAAAUGAUUUUGCUAAGUGUAAAGGUCAACAAUAGAAAGAAGUUGGAUCUAGAUCUUGGGAAGUUAUACAUAUUUUUAAGGGAAAAUGCAUACGUACCCCCAGCCUAUGCCCCAAAUCCCUGAGACACACCUAACCUUUACUAAGGUCCUAUUACCCCCCGAACUUAUUUUAUAUAUAAUUUUCUACCCCUUUUUGGCCUACGUGGCACUAUCUUGUGGGCCCAGCAUGUGUUGACAAUUUUUUCAAGGAUAGUUCCAUGUAGGCCGAAAAGGGGUAGAAAAUUAUAUAUAACAUAAGUUCGGGGGGUAAUAGGACCUUAGUAAAGGUUAGGUGUGUCUCAGGGAUUUGAGACAUAGGCUGGAGGGUACUUAUGCAUUUUCCCUAUUUUUAACGUAAAGGCAAUUCCAAGAUUAUUAAUAGUAUACAUUUCUGCUGCUUUGUCUGAAUGCUUUUAGAUGCUCAUGGGUAUGAAGAAUGAAAUAUUAAAAUACAAUUCAUAGUCUUUUUUAAUCAGUUAUUUGGAGUCUCUUGUCUUGACAAUAUGUGACCUGUAAAUUGUAAUCUAAUACAAGCAGAGCCAAUUGUUGAAAAAAAAAGUGGUUGCUAUUUUAUAAAAGUUCAUUCAUCAAGCACAUUAUAGACAUUGGCAAUUUCACUAGAAAACACAACAACAACAACAACAACAAAGGUGCGAGUUCAUCUACUAAAUUUAGUGUGCUGAUUGUAUGACACGUAGGAUAUGCGGAUUGACAUGUAUAUGUCUACAUGUUUAAUUUUAUACAAAUUUAAGUGUCUACUUGUGCACAUCACUAAAUUAAUAUGGAAUAAACAUUUUCAUUUUGUCCCUACACUAAAUUAAAAUCUAAUAACUAUAAAAAAAAAUAGUAUAAUUAAUUAAAAGUCCUAUUUAUUUAUGUAAGUGUAAAAUUUAUUAUAAAUUCAUCUAUUGCACAUUACUCCUAUAGUGAUAACAUUAUAAAUUAUCUUAGUUAUUACUAAUUAUUGCAAAUGUUAUUCACACUCUUUUACAUUCUUUAGUUAUAAUAUUAUGAAUUUUCAUAGUUAUUACUAGGGGUGUGCAAAAACCGAACCAACCGAUAAACCAAACCGAUAAAAGUGUUAUUGGUUUAUUGUUAUUGGGUUAACGGUUUUUAAUGGUUUUAUAAAAAAAUUAUUGGUUAUCGGUUCGGUAUUGGUUUUUAAUAUUGGGUUAUUGGGUAAACCGAUAACCCAUUAAAACUAGUAAUUUACUAAUUUUACUUGUACAUAAAUAUUAUAUGUUAAUCUUAAUACCUUAGUAGUUACUAUCUUUGUCCUUUAGCCUUCAAUUCACACUUCACAAUGGCUUUGAGUUCACAAUUUCACAUUAUGAAAAACGUUAAAAUCUAAAGUAAGAAUCAUAUUCCUCUUAAUUUCUCUUUGUGUUACGCUUGUAUAGUUCUUUUCAUCUUUGUUAUUAUUGUUUCUAUUUUAUGAGCAUUUGUAAAGUUACAUUAUUGUGUUUUCGCAUCAAAUUUAUUAGAAAAGUCAUAUAUUUGUUUUAUAGAUAUUUUCUUAUUGGUUAAACCGAAAACCGAACCGUUAAGGACCAAAACCGAUAAACCGAAAAUCGAUAAAAAAUAUCUUAUUGGUUUGGUUAUUGAUUUAACAUAUUUAAAAACCAAAAACCGAUAUAAAAUCAAACCGAACCGACCGAUGCACACCCCUAGUUAUUACAUUAAUUAUUUCUAUCUUUCAUCCUUCCUUAUGUUAACUUUUGACCAAUAAUUUUUCAUAUUAUUAUACAAUCCUUAUAUACGUGAUAACACGGUGUUGUUAUUUUUCCUUGGACGAAUCAUGCUUGGUUGAAUAAAUUGAAAAUUGUUUACAAGUAUAUGAACUAUAUCUUUGUUGGAUGUAAGAUAAACAGGUGAUUAUAUAUAUGAUUUCACAAUAGAAUAUAUUCUUUAAUUUUAAUUUUUAGUUUUUCGGUAAAAAAAUAAAAGGAAACCUUUUUCAAUUAACUAUGGACAGUCAGAUAACUAUCUUUGAUUUAUGUACACAGUCAAUCGAGAAGUCAAAUAUGAGAGCCAACAAAAAGAACGACAUCUAUUAUGUUAUAACUUAUAAAAUCAAAAUUAUUAUACAAAAAUAGUUCUACAAAUAAAAUAUAGUUGUUCUCCACAUGUUCAUAUGACAUCUAAACAGAUUAAGUGUAAUACACGUGCCAAGCACAUCCGGUUAGAUGACAAGAAAAAUACACAACAAAUAUCGUAUAUAAGGUAAUAUUAGUGAGAUACGACUAAUUAUAUAUGAUUGAACCUCGUCAAAUUGAAAUAAAUAUAUACAUUAUUGCAUAUAACUAAUAAAAAUUUUCAUUGACCAUCUUCAUAGGUUUGUGUGAAUAAAAGAUAUAUAUGACGAUCCACAUUGAAUAUUCACAAAAGAAUCUGCAAUAUUAUUUUGUGCAAAGCUUAUUAUUCAAAUCUUCGCUUAAAUUUUCUAAAUUGAUAAUCAUGUGCAACACACGUAUCGAAAAACUAGUAUAUCAUAUCAUAUAUUAUUAUAAAUGGGAAGCCUCCAAGUCAAAAGUUGAAUUACGAAAAUGUCCUUAUAAUAUCAUAAUAUUGAAGGACCAAAAUGUAAAUACACAUUAAUUAUUAGUAAAUAUUAUCAUAUUCUAUUAAACACUAUUCUUAUAUAUAUUUAUGGACAAAAAUAUAAAUACAUAAUAAUAAUAAUAAUACUAAUAAUAUUAAUAAUAAUAAUAUUCUAAAAUGAAAAACCCCAUCAUAUUACUUCAAGUUUUCGGAAGUUAAAACACAACUUAUGACAUGAAUUAAUAUAAAUACAAUGAAUAUUUGUAUUAUUAAAUGAUAGAAGAAAAUUGAAAGUUUUGCAAUAAAUGAAAACCCCAUCAUAUUACUUCAAGUUUUUCGGAAGUUAAAACACAACUUAUGACAUGAAUUAAUAUAAAUGCAAUGAAUAUUUGUAUUAUUAAAUGAUAGAAGAAAAUUGAAAGUUUUUGCAAUAGUUUAAAAACAAUCUCUUCAGAUACUCCUACCGCGCAAAACUAGACAUGAAUUAAUAUAAAUACAAUGAAUAUUUAUAUUAUUAAAUUAAAUGAUAGAAGAAAAUCAAAAGUUUUGCAAUAUUUAAAACAAUCUCUUCAGAUAUUCCUACCGUGCAAAACUAUAAAAAAAUUCAAUGAAUCAUAUUCAUAAAUUAUCUUAAAUGCUAAGUAAUAGCUACAACAAAUAUUGUUGCAAAUUUUUUGAUUUCCUUCCAUCAUAAUUACCAUAAAUUAACUAUGAAUUUUCUACUUGAUAAAUUAAAUUUAACUUAUAUAAAUGGACAUUUAGCAUAUAACUAAUUCUCACUAUUUGGAUGAAACAAUAUAAUAUAUCGUACGUGUAAACUUACCAGGUAUGUUACAAAAAUUCAGCCCUUCAUGUUUACAUUUGAGUCAUUUAGUUGUUAUUUCUAAAAAAAAUUAUUGUGCUUUUUAUGUUGUGCUUCUCACAUGAAUGAAAGAAUAAGAUAAAUUUUGUUUGGAAUGCUAAGAAUAUUGUCGUCAUAUAUAGUUUCUCAAGCUUUUGGUAUCUCAGUAAUACUCAAUAGUGUAGCAAUAUUUAUCGUCUUCUUAUUUAGCUAUCUCUAGGAGGUAAGCAUAGAAAAGUUGGUUCAAUUAAUUUCUUAAAUUCUAUUUGUGUUAUAUAUAACUUCUCUUGAUUUUUUUCUACUCAUCAUUACAUUUUAAAGUACAGUCGUGUAGGAAUGUUGUAAAUAUCACUAUGUACAUAUUUCAAAAUGAUCAUGAAUGUCGAAGCUUUAUGACUUUGUUUCUUUGAUAAUAUCUCUAAUUUGUUGAUAAUGAUAAUUUCUUAGAAAUGAUCUUGCCUCUAUAAUUUUGCCUUUUGACUUUGGAUACCUUUAAAAGGGGGAUUAAUUCAAUAAUAUUUAAUUUAAGAUAUGCAAGUAAGUCAUAAAGCUAAGGAAUGAGAAGAAUCAUCUAUUGAUUUUGGAUCUCCAAUAAAUAAUUAUAAGUCCUAUUAGACUAAGAACAUUCUAUCUUCACAAAUUUUAACCUCGCCUUCUAUCCAAUCCAAGAUCAAAAGGCAUGCGACAAUAUCACCUCCUUUAUAAUUGUUCAAUAAUUCAGUGAUAUGAUAUUAUUUUGUUUUAUUCCAACUACAUAAUAAUCAAGUCUUCACAGUUUAUGGAUAUUAAGGUUGUCAAAAAACUGACUUAUAAUUUAAUUGUUCUUGCGAAGGAUUAGUAUGAAUUACACGUGCAACGCACGUAUUCAAAACUAGUAUUACUAAUUACUAAAAGUGGGAAGAAUCUCAGUCAAAAGUUGAAUUACGAAAAUACCCUUUUAAGUAUUAAUUUAUUUUCUUGAAAUUAUUUAAAAUAUUAUUUUUUCAUUUAAUAUUCAUUUUAGGAUUCAAUGAAUUUUGACUGUUCAUAUUAUGGUAAUUAAUACUCAUAUUUCCAGCUAGACUUACAAUUCAAUACUCAUUAUCAAAUUGCAAGUUAUUAUCUUUACAUCUUCCACGUAGUAAUAGCAAUGAAUUUUCAUAAUCAUAGUUACUAUGAAUUUUUUUAAUAAGUCAUAAUGAUAUUCCAUUACACAUUUAAUAUAUUUGAAUUCUUUUACAUAUUUUAUCCUUAGAUUACACUUUUAUUUCUACAUUACAUUUAAAUGUUAUAAAUUGUUUAUAAAUUAAAUAUUAAAUAGUAAAUCAUCAUAUUAGUAUACAUAAAUUACCACUAACUCUUCAUUAUGUAAGUGUAUGUAACACUCACUAAUUAUAUUCAUUAUGUUUUUUACUCUCAUAUCUCAUCGAUAAUCUCAAAUGGAUUAAUAUUAUAUUUAUGAUAACUCUUUGUGUUCCUCAAUGUUAUCCUAUAAAUAGUGACAUUUGACACAAUAAUGUGCCCACUUAAACCAAUUGAAAAAAAAAAAACCAUGAGAAAAUCUUUGUGCCCUCGUCUCUCGUCUCUUUUUAUUUGUUUAGUUUAACAUUUAUGUUUUUUGUUUGUUGUUAUUGUACAACUAAUUUCUAUUGUUGUGUUGUUAUUAUUAUUGAGAAUUUACCAUGGUUUGUUGCUUUGUAUACAUUAGCCUAGCAUGUGGUAUUUUAAUAUCCUCAAUUGAAUAUUGAAUUUGUGCAAUAGUUAGUUAUUUUUUACUUUAUGCACUUUUAGUCAAUUUUAUAGUUGAAAGUAUAUUCUUUUUACUAGGAAUAUAUAUGUAGUUCCUAUCGAAACAAUGAUGGAUUUUGCAAUACAAAAUUUAUAUGAAGUAUUUUGAAAUAAACGUGCAACGCACGUUCCCAGAUCUAGUAUGUUACUAUAAGCGGGAACUAAAAAGUUGAAAGUUGAAAUACCAAAAAUAUCCCUAUAAAAUUGAGUUACUACAAUAAUGCCACUAAAAAAAAGUUCUACUAAAUUAAACUGUUAUAAAAUAUUUAUUUAAUUAUAUUUAGAUAGUAAUUAUAUAAUAUUAUAGUAUACAACACUAGAAAACCCAAAAGUUGUAGUAAAUACUAUUCAUACAAUUAAUAAAUCAGUUAAUCGUAGGAGACUAUAUACAUUUAACUGUAUGUCAUUAGUAUAUGAAUAACUUGGAUGUUUAGGCUUCUCCUUAUAGUUUGUGAAAUAUUUUGAAUUCUCAUAGACUUAAUAAUGUGCAUUUACUAUUUCUUGAACUUUGUAUCACCUCUUUAGUACUUAAUUAUGUUUAUUUAAUCUCAAUCUUAAAUUGCUUCAUCUUCCGAUCUUUAUUGCAAUAUUAACUUUUGAAAUGUCAAUGUACAUGUAAUCAAACAAGGAUUUAUUUUCCUAAAAAAUAUACCCAACCUUUUCAUUCUUUUUCUCCAUACACAAAGAGUUUAGAAGUUAUAAUCAUGAUUUAGCAUAAUUGAGCUUUUGAUGAUUUAGUAGGGAACCAGCAUGGGGAUGUAAUCCUGGUUGCCUAAUAUAUGUUGCUUCUUCAAAAGGUAUUUUGUAUAUGAAAUGAAGUUUUUUGUUAUUUUCUUGUUGCAUCUUUUAACCAAAUUAAAAUUACAUACUUUUGAAUAAACCGAAAGAUUAUGUAUCACAUUAUAAUGGUGUUGUUGGACAUGUAUACAUGGGAAUAACAUGGUUGCCUCGAAUGUGGUUCAUCAUUAUUUAUAUACUUGUACCCUUUUUUUGGUUGGUAAAAAGCAAGUUAGUCCUAUUUAGGUGUUUUAAUCAUUUUUUAAAUAUUACAAGUAUCAACGCUAAAUCUAUGUCAACAACUCUAAUAAUGUUAGAUGUUAUAUUACCUUAAUUAGUUUUACUUAGUUCAACAUUAUCUAUUUUGUGAACUACUCCCUCCGUUCUUUUGUAGCUGUUUCUAUUUUUUUAAUAGUCAAAUGAUAUAAAUAACUUUAACUAACAUUUUCAGAUGUAUUUUUCCAUCAUAUAAAAAAGGGAUAAUGCAUAAGUACCCCCCAGCCUAUGCCCGAAAUCCCAGAGACACACCUAACCUUUACUAAGGUCCUAUUACCCCCCCCCCCCGAACUUAUUUCAUAUAUAAUUUUCUACCCUUUUUCGGCCUACGUGACACUAUCUUGUGGGCCCAGCGCGUGUUGACAAUUUUUUCAAGGAUAGUGCCACGUANNNNNNNNNNNNNNNNNNNNNNNNNNNNNNNNNNNNNNNNNNNNNNNNNNNNNNNNNNNNNNNNNNNNNNNNNNNNNNNNNNNNNNNNNNNNNNNNNNNNNNNNNNNNNNNNNNNNNNNNNNNNNNNNNNNNNNNNNNNNNNNNNNNNNNNNNNNNNNNNNNNNNNNNNNNNNNNNNNNUUAUUUCAAAAUAUCAAAUUAGUGUAAUCUAAAUUAACUUUAAAAAUUAGUCAAGUUGACUCUCAAAAAGCGCAAUAUGAUAACUAAAAAGGAAUAGUGGGAGUAAUAACUAAAAUUGUGUUAAAAUUAGAUGAUAUUGUUGUGUUUGACUAAACACAUACUUAGUUGAAUAAUACAUAAGAUUAGGCAUAUACAAAUUUUAUAAAAAUAACAGUCUUUGCCUCUUUGGAAACGUGGGUUUGAAGAUAUAAAAUUAGGCAUGUACAAAUUUUAUGAAAAUAAUAGGGAAUAAACAUGCAACGCAGACUAGUUAACUAAAAAAUACAUGACAACACCAUUUUCAUGAGAGGAGCAAAUUGAACAUGCUCAUAGUAUAUAAAACCAAAAACACAACAGUAUUUGUUACUACUAGUCCCUCGGUCAAGGGAAAAAUUGAUGGUGUAUGAUCUUCUCCAAUAACCUUUGGCACCCAUCUUUCGUCGACUACAACCAGCAUGUUAAAACUACACAAGGGCCUCGAGCAAAAAAGAUCAAUGUAGAACUGAUACCUGCAGUUUUUCCUAAACAGAAGCCAUGAAGCAAUUCCUUGUUCUAUAUGACGUUGAUUCUAAUGAAUCUCCGUCCAUGGUCCAAACGAAAUCAGUCAUGUUGAACCUCCAUUCUGUAUAUGUAGAGUGUCACGACCCGAGUCUACACCCUGGACGUGACCGGCACUCAAGAACCAUUGCUGGUCCCCAAGCGAACCCUCAUCCUGGUUGACUACAAGCGGAAGACUAACUUAAGCAUGCAAAAGCUUAAAAUUGAAAUAAAAUUCAAUAAAAUCAACUCUACAAAACUUUAACUCAAAUGAACAACUUAGAAUAAAAUAAUAUAUUCAAUUUGCCAUAAAAUAGGCAACUUAAGUCUUUUAAAACAUUUUAAUAAAAUAAAUGGGGUAAAUAAUACAAACUUCUCAACUAUACUGACUAUCUAUGAAGCCUCUAACUGAUAAAGAUGGAAGUCGAGACCAGACCCACGACAUCCUGACUAAACUGAAAAGUAAAUGAAAUCCUUCGAAAAUAAGGAGCUCACCAUAGCUAACUCGAACUCCCGGAUGUAUCAAUGAAUCUCCUGUUGAUGAUCCUGAAUACCUGUGUCUGCAUCAUGAAAAGAUGCAGGCCAAAUGGCUCAGUACGUGGAAUGUACGAGCAUGUAAGGGGGAUUCUAAAACAUAAACAUAAGUUUGAAACUUGAUAAAAAGGAAACAUACUCAGUGGAGGAUCCAGGAUUUAGAGUCCGUGGGUGCCAAAUAGACUUAUCGAUUAAAUUAAUUUUAUAUUUGAUUAAAUUAUUCCUCUUUUCGAUAUAUAUCAUAAAUCAAUCAAUAAAAUAUAAAAUAAUAAGAUAUUACAAAUCCACACUCCACACUAAAAGCAUGAAGUUAACAAAUUUAAAACUUUCAAUAAUAUUACUAAUAUUAUAAAUAUUCAUCAUUCAUUUACAAUUGUCCUCGACGAGUUUUCAUAUUCUGAAAACGAUCGAUAAUGACAUUAUUACUAACAUUUAUAAAUACAUCACGCUCUAUGUAACACACUAGACAAUCAUUUAAAUAUUGAUUACCAAUACUAUUCUGCACUUCAUUUUUUAUGUACUUCAAUGACAAAAAUGCUCUCUCCACAGUUGCAGUAGCAGCAAGUAAAAUCAAAAUCAACAUUACAAGAAAAUAAGCAAGUGAAAAGUCAAAGGAGUAAUAAUGUAAUUAAUUUAAUUUAAGUCAAUAACAAUUAUAAAAGAAUAAAAAUAAUGUGCCAGCUGUUUUUCCUUUAAAAAACGUGCUUGGAGAUUUUUUUUCUUAAAAAAUGUCUGCAGCAAAUUUCUCAAAAAAAUAGGUACAAAUGGGAUUCGAACCAGCAACAUCAGUCUUCUAAAGUUGCCCUCCUACCGUGGCACCACAAGCCAGAUUUGUUCUCUGGAUGACACGCUUUAUAUUUAUAUAAAUAUUAUGUAUAUAUACCUAUGUAUAUAUAGAGUUUCCGUCGAAGUUCGGGGGUGGCGUGGCACCCCCACACCCCUUCAUAGAUCCGCCCCUGAACAUACUUACAUCUUCUCAACUUACUCAACUCAAGGAAUACUCAAGGAUACUCGAAACUACUCAAACUUACUCAACUCAGAAAUACUAAAGGAUAAGAUACUCAACUCAGAGAUAAGAUACUCAACUCAAAGAUAUGAUAUUCGACUCUGGGUACUCAACUCAAUAUAAAGCAACAAUACACAUGCAAUAUAUGGAAAACUUUAUAAAACAGUAAAAACAACUUAAACUUUAUAAAAUAGUAAAAACAACUUAGUUCAUUAAAGAAAAUGCAAUAACAAACUCAACUUUACUUAUAUAAUAAAGUAAUAUAGUUUAUGUGGAAGUUUCUCUAACCGACAACCACCAUUAUGAGCCUAAGUGNNNNNNNNNNNNNNNACAACGUCUUGCCCACGCUGCCAGAACUGUCCUAUACUUUGCCGUCAUAUAGAACGCUUUCACUUAGUGGAUCCACUAGCUUAACUUAUGUGAUCAUGUAAAAAGUAUGACCCAUUAAUACCCAUGAUGGCUACAUGGUUUAUGGAGAUUUGAGUUAAUAUAAACUCGCAUCCCCAUAUCGUGGCUCAAUACUACUCCCAAAAAUAUAUUUAGCUCAUAUAUUUUAAAACAACUUCUUUCUUUGGUUUGAGAUAAUUACUCAAAACUUAGCUUAAAAUCUCUCUUGGAAUCGAUGUUCCCUUUUCUUGCUCAAAUGUGAAAACAUUUAUACGAACUUGGAAUCGAGCAAACUCAGCGGUGUUGGAAAGAUCACUCCACAAUCUUCGCAAACAUAACUGGAACUGCACCUAACUCAUCCUGAGCUGAGUGUUAUGACUGUUCAAAAUUGGCCAAAAACUCACUUUUUCCCAUACUUAACCAAAUAUCCAAAUUUUUAAACUCUUUCCAAAAAUGACUAUUUCCAAUUCUAAGCCUCUUCAUAGUUAUUUCAAAUUGCCGGAUGUUACAUAUGGAGUUCAUGAGGAAUUUAUAGGCAUGAACGACUUGACUCGUAGGUCUACAUAACAUUAUGGAACUCAUGUAUACAACUCUUCUCAUUCUCAUACUUACUUUCUCAAAAUUUAACUCAAAUCGAUUAUGGAUCUCCAAGGAUUCAUAAUUGAACUUAAAACUUUCUUGAACUCUAAACUCUCUCUUGAAUGUGAAUUAUGAAUUCAAGAGUUAUGGUUCANNNNNNNNNNNNNNNNNNNNNNNNNNNNNNNNNNNNNNNNNNNNNNNNNNNNNNNNNNNNNNNNNNNNNNNNNNNNNNNNNNNNNNNNNNNNNNNNNNNNNNNNNNNNNNNNNNNNNNNNNNNNNNNNNNNNNNNNNNNNNNNNNNNNNNNNNNNNNNNNNNNNNNNNNNNNNNNNNNNNNNNNNNNNNNNNNNNNNNNNNNNNNNNNNNNNNNNNNNNNNNNNNNNNNNNNNNNNNNNNNNNNNNNNNNNNNNNNNNNNNNNNNNNNNNNNNNNNNNNNNNNNNNNNNNNNNNNNNNNNNNNNNNNNNNNNNNNNNNNNNNNNNNNNNNNNNNNNNNNNNNNNNNNNNNNNNNNNNNNNNNNNNNNNNNNNNNNNNNNNNNNNNNNNNNNNNNNNNNNNNNNNNNNNNNNNNNNNNNNNNNNNNNNNNNNNNNNNNNNNNNNNNNNNNNNNNNNNNNNNNNNNNNNNNNNNNNNNNNNNNNNNNNNNNNNNNNNNNNNNNNNNNNNNNNNNNNNNNNNNNNNNNNNNNNNNNNNNNNNNNNNNNNNNNNNNNNNNNNNNNNNNNNNNNNNNNNNNNNNNNNNNNNNNNNNNNNNNNNNNNNNNNNNNNNNNNNNNNNNNNNNNNNNNNNNNNNNNNNNNNNNNNNNNNNNNNNNNNNNNNNNNNNNNNNNNNNNNNNNNNNNNNNNNNNNNNNNNNNNNNNNNNNNNNNNNNNNNNNNNNNNNNNNNNNNNNNNNNNNNNNNNNNNNNNNNNNNNNNNNNNNNNNNNNNNNNNNNNNNNNNNNNNNNNNNNNNNNNNNNNNNNNNNNNNNNNNNNNNNNNNNNNNNNNNNNNNNNNNNNNNNNNNNNNNNNNNNNNNNNNNNNNNNNNNNNNNNNNNNNNNNNNNNNNNNNNNNNNNNNNNNNNNNNNNNNNNNNNNNNNNNNNNNNNNNNNNNNAUUUGGUAAGGAAAAGACCAAAAUACCCCUUACUAUUUCCGGCUAACUUUCCUUAACUGGACAGCCUAACUUCAAAAGGCCAUAUCUCACUCAUCUGAACUCAAAACUUAGCAAACUUGGUGGCAUUGGAAAGAUAAUUCAAAGAUCUUUCCUAAGGUAUCUUGUAGCACACCUGACUCAUCCUGUGCUAUGAGUUAUGGUUGUUUGAAGUCGACCCAAAACUCAUACUUAUCUUAACUUGCAAAAUUUCAGAUUUUGCUAUUUCCAAUUUAGUUCUUUUUGGAACUCAAGGUGCUACAUCUAGUGACCUUAAAACUAAAGAAAUUUUAAUUUCCUUGAUAAAAUCGUACUCACAACGAAGGAUGGUUCAAUUCAUAGCUCAAAAUUUUUUUGGGGUGUUACAUAGAGUUUCUCGACAGGGAAACUUUCUGGCUUCGUAUCCGGAUGACUGCUCUCAUCUUGCAGCUCACAUGCUCCAUAAUUUACUGAACAAGAAGACAUCCAAAUAUAUCACAUCGUCUCCAGCCUUGCAGCAUUGACCAACAGAGCCUUGUCUCUGGUCUCCAACUUAAUUACAAAGGCUUUCAAAACCAGAGUGGAGGCCUAGAUCACAUUCCCCACAAAAGCUAUGGAGAGCAUCUCUAGCUUUUUAGCAUGGGCCCAGAUAUAAUGAAACGUGUGAUCCAUAAGGAGGCCAGAAAGGGGAAGUGGACGACUGCCCCAAAACCAGCAUUGAGCUUUUCAGGGGUUAUGUAAUCAGAGUUUUCACAUGUUUGUGAUGAUGGUAUUUCUUGAGAGAUUUACAAAAAACAGAGAUAUAAGAUAAUUUUCAUAUAGAACCAUUUGUUUUCUUUUCCAUCAUAGCAGAGAGUUGAACAAUAGCAAUACUUAUUCACGUGAUACUUAUUGACACUUCCAAAACAACAUAACAAAGGACAGAAUAGCAUUUCUCAGAACACAAACCAUAUGCAUCAGGCUUCUACUAUACUUUCUACAUUGAUCUUGAAAUCGCCCUCCGCAUAGUAUGUGCUUAGAGUUGGAACCACCAUCUGGUGACUGCUCAAACUUCACCUCAUUAAGUUAUUUUUUUUCGAGUUUUUCUACCAAAGCUCAUCAAUCCUAUACUUAAUGGACUUAAAGUUGCCACCUUUAGAAAAGAAGCCAUCGCUAGAAGAACAUUAGUGAUUAAAAUGAGUGUCUAUCCAAAAUUGAAAAAGAAUUAACUAGGAUGAAGAGUGUUGUAUAGAAGAACCUGUUUGAACAUCUUGAUCAUAACAUACAUCAGCCUUCAACUCCAAAUGUUUAUCGAUGGCAGAUUCUUGGUGCAUGUGAAUUCCACCAUGCUGCAGCAGAAUUAGAACUCUUUGCACACAAAGAUCCCACUGCUUGCUGCAUUGGAAUUUCUCGGUAACUUUAUUACCUGAGGGUUUUCACAUGUUUGUUACAGAAGAAGACUAUUUGAUUUGAGUUGUUCUUGGGUUGCAUACAAAUGCUUAAUGCCACCCCCUAUUAAAAAUCUAUAGGGAUGAUUCUAGAUACUAAAAAUCUAGAUUGUUCUAACCUCUUCUACAAAUAUCUUCCUCAAGUAUCUAAUAUUCUAGAUAUAUUACUCUACAAAAUUCUAUAAAGUUCUACUAAAUAUCUAAGAUAUUUUUUGUACCUCCAAAAAAUCAACUUUAAUUUUUCAUAGUAAGUUCGUAGAGUAAUUUGGUUCAUAAAUGUACUAACACCAGCUAGGUAAUAAUAAUUGGACUAUAAGAGAUAGACAACGAACAAAAUGGGAGCUUCUUAGUUCAAGUUAUUUUAGGCUCGAUUAAUCAAAACAUUUUAAGUGUUGCAAUGUGCUUCAGAAGAACUUGUUAUAAUUGAUACACACAUAAUUUUUUUAAUCUAGAAAUAUUUUUAUACAAGUAAAAUGAUGACAAGAAAAAGAGCAUAAAACAACACAUGCUCAUCUACUCAAAUUCUACAUAAUAAUCACAAAUAGUUCAGUUGAGACUUUCGUCAAUAUUUCAACGUUGGUGUCAAUUUCUGCCUGGCUGAUUCGAUCAAGGAGGACUAACUCAAUGGAAUUCAUAACCCUUUCAAUCUUCUCCUUAUUUCCUUGGUCAGACAGCAAAGUUCUCACUUUCCGGAAGAGCCACAUCAGGGAGGAUGGUUGCUGAAAGCAAAAUCAAAUAAAAGCAUGACAGCGGAAUGAGUUAGAGGCUAGAGCUAUGUUCAAUUGGGUAAAUUCGUGCAAACAAAAACCCUUUCUGAUUAGGGAUGAUAAUCGCAAUGGUACCAUAAGUAGGAACUCAUAGAAGACUGUAAACAACUGAAUUAAUCAGAAUAACACACAUAUAAUUUGGUUUUUAAACAACUGCAUUGAUGUAUCAAUAGGCACAAGAGGAGUUUUGAUAACACUUACUGUUGCACGCGAGGCCAAAUGUCAUAUAGCAGCACCUAUUUGAACAUCUUGAUUAUUAGAAACAGCUGCCUCUCAACUCCAAAUGUUUAGCGAUGGCUGAUUCUUGGUACACAUGAAUUCCACCAUUCAAACUCUUUGCACGAGAAGAUUCCGCUUCUUGCUGCAUUGGAGUUUCUCGGUAACUUUAUUACCUCAAGAGUUUUCACAUUGUGAUGAUUGUAUUUCUUGAAAGAUUUACAAAAACAGAGAUAUAGGAUAACUUGCAUAUGGUACAGAGGUUGCCAACCUUUUGUUUGACUUCCUUCUUGUCCAUCAUAUCACAGAGUCAGUAAUCCUACUAGGACGUGGACUGAGCAUGGCGGAGGAGCUGGGGGCGGCAGGAAAGGGUUCUGAUUUUUGACAGGGACACAUAAAGUUUGUGGGAAAGAAAGAAACAUAUGUAUCACAUUUUGUAUCUGAAGGCCAAUAAAAGUUAUUAUAUGCAUGACGUACCAUUUUCUUACUCCUUCAUUUUCCUUUCCUCUUUCCAUGAUUGUACCCAAGGGUCUGAUGUGUAAAAUGUGCUUAAAACUUUAUCAAGUUCAUAAAAGGAAACAAUUCUGCAGAUAUAGUCAGACAUAUAAAAAGUCAUUUUCGAUAUAUUGAUCAAAUGGCGCUUACAAAAUAAUUUAGACACACAAGAAAAGAGAAGAAGAGUAGUUUAUAAGAUAAAGCAGAAUCAUUUAUGUAAUUUAAUUAAUGAAGACAUAAGAGAAAGUAGAGAUUUAAAUGAUGAGGUCUAUAUAUUCUUGGAGUUGAAAAUGGAGGAAUCAAGUUAUCAUGUGAAAUUGUUGGAAAAUAUACUUGAAGAGAGGAUCAAUGAUCAUGAAGCCAAGUAACUUUGAAGUACUUUUUUCAAUUUUCGAUAAUUUUAUCCUUUUUUAAUUCUUCCAUCUUUUACAUGUCGAUAUUUUAUUUACGUUAUUAUAUUAAAUACGUAUAUGCUUUAAUCAAAAUAGCUAAGAAGCGCUCCGUCUUUCAAAUGUCUCUGUUUAUAAAGGAAUUUCUCAAUUGAUAAAAUUAAGUGUUCAUAUUUGUAUUUUUUUUCCCUUACAAUUUUAGUUAUUCUAAUAGUACGAGUAAUUUUAAUUUUAGUAAUUUUUAAUUGUACAUUCAAAUUUAUAGUUUGUUUUCCUUCACUGCAUCUCUUUACAAAUUACUAUGUGACAUACACACAGAGCAUUAAACACGAAAUUAUAAAGGAUAAGUCACACAUAUAUGAUAUUGACGUAUUCAUAGUACCAGAGACUAAAUUAUCUUAGUUAGCUACACCUAUUUUUCUUUAAUGACAAAAGCACAGGUCUACUGUUAUGAAUUUUCUUUUUUAAUAAAUACAAUGAAAGUGAUAAAAUUAAUCUUGAUAGCAUUUUCUAUUUUAUAACUCAACUUUUGUUUAGAAGCUAUAAUACUGAUAAGGGACAAACAUGCAAUGGACGUUUCUAAAAGACUAGUUUAUAUCAUAAGCAUAAAUUAAUGACUGUCAAAAAAUAUACUAGGAUCUAUAACAAUAGAAUGAAACAAAAAGGAAAAAAUUGAGCCGACUAAAUGUACAACGUCCCCUUAAGGAAAUUAUUCCUCUCUAGUACCCGAAGUUUAAAGAAAUAGAUCUUCUCAGGAUGGAAUAAAUCUAUUCACAAGUAUAUUGAUACAAAAACAAAUAGUGUCAGUGAGCCACUCAACAGGAGCAAAGUACACAAAUAUUUAAUUAUGCAGAAAAAGUUCAGAAUUUUCGUUGUUUUAAAAUGAGAGGAAAUCCCUCUAUUUAUAGACAACAAAGGGUAGUGUGAACAAAUGUUUAUUGUGCCUUAUCGAAAAUGUCACAACUCUUUGGAAAAGUUACAGCCCUUCGAAAAGGUCACAACCUUUCAUAAAAGUCACAAUUUUAUUUAAAAGUCGCAACUCUUCAUAAAAGUCACAUCUUUUCAUUAAAGGGGAAGACUAUUUUUGGAAAUAAAUAAAUUUAAAAGGAAAUUCUAGCUAGUGAUGGUGCCAUGUAGGCGGGCCUAGGGUUCUCUUUUAUAUAAAUAUAUGAUAUGAUUUCUUAAUUAAAAGCUUUUAUUUCUACGCAAAUACUAUGAUAUAUUUAUCAUCACAAGUUUCAAAAGUCUUUUUUUACUUCUUCUGUUAAGCUUUGUGAAUAUUCAAACAAAAUGAUGAAACAGUGUUUUGAUUCUAAUUUCUAAGACAACUCGAACAGAAUGAUGUGUUUGGUACGAAGGAAAAUAAGUAAUUGGAAAGAGAAGAAAAAACAAAACAACAAAUGGUUGCCAUUUUUAAUGUGAUCAUAUCUAUCAUCUGCUCAAUUUCUACUUAAUAAUAUUCACAAAUAAAUAGUUCAGUGGAGACUUUGAUCAAACACAUUGUAGGCAUCAUUUCUACAAGAGUCGCAACAGCAAAACAAUUGUGCAAAAAUGAACAAGGACCUGUUUUGGUGCUUAUCAAUUGAUCGUUGGUCUAAUCAGUUCUGAGAUAUGUUUUAAUAGAUAAAUUGUGAUAGUUUAAAUAGAAAAAAAGAAUAGUUGACACUUGAAAAAAUGAUAGUUCAAAUAUAUUUUUGAUCCUUCAUUCUAAAAUUUGCAUCAUAUAUUAAUGGGAAAAAGGCCUAAAUAUACGAAAUUUGAAAAAAAAAAAAAAUCUCAUCUAUGUCAUCUAUUAUAAAGUUUGGCUCAUCUAUGAUAUUUUCGUUGGAGAAAAAACUCAUUUAUGCGAUUAUGGAUUAACAGAAAUCCAUCUGAUUUUGCAAAACCAUUUUGUCCACAUGGCGGACUAUGAUUUAAUAUUUUCUGUGAAGAGUUUUGAGUGAUAAAUAGCUGCUUGAGUGCACUAGACAGUAAGUUCGUAGAGUAAUUUGGUUCAUAAAUGUACUAAUACCAGCUAGGUAAUAAUAGUUGGACUACAAGAGAUAGACAACGAACAAAAUGGGAGCUUCUUAGCUCAAGUUAUUUUAGGCUCGAUUAAUCAAAACAUUUUAAGUGUUGCAGUGUGCUUCAAAAUAACUUGUUAUAAUUUAUAUACACAUAUUUUUUUUAAUCUAGAAAUAUUUUCAUACAAGUAAAAUGUUGACAAGAAAAAGAGCAUAAAACAACACAUGCUCAUCUACUCAAAUUCUAUGUAAUAUUCACAAAUAGUUCAGUUGAGACUUUCAUCAAACACACUUGUAGACAUAUUUCAACGUUGGUGUCAAUUUCCGCCUGGCUGAUUCGGUCAGGAGGACUAACUCAAUGGAAUUCAUAACCCUUUCAAUCUUCUCCUUAUUUCCUUGGUCAGACAACAAAGUUCUCACUUUUUGGAAGAGCCACAUCAGGGAGGAUGGCUGCUGAAAGCAAAAUCAAAUAAAAGCAUGACAGCAGAAUGAGUUAAAGGCUAGAGCUAUGUUCAAUUGGGUAAAUUCGCGCAAACAAAAACCCUUUCUGAUUGGGGAUGAUAAUCACAAUGGUACCAUAAGUAGAGACUCAUAGAAGACUGCAAACAAUUGAAUUAAUCAGAAUAACACGCUUAAAUUUUGGUUUUUAAACAACUGCAUUGAUGUAUCAAUAGGCACAAGAGGAGUUUUAAUAACACUUACUGUUGCACGCGAGGCCAAAUGCCGUAUAGCAGCACCUAUUUGAACAUCUUGAUUAUUAGAAACAGCUGUCUCUCAACUCCAAAUGCUUAGCGAUGGCUGAUUCUUGGUACACGUGAAUUCCACCAUUCAAACUCUUUGCACGAGAAGAUCCCACUACUUGCUGCAUUGGAAUUUCUUGGUAACUUUAUUACCUCAAGAGUUUUCACAUAUAUGUUUGUGAUGAUGGUAUUUCUUGAAAGAUUUACAAAAACAGAGAUAUAGGAUAACUUGCAUAUGGUACAGAGGUUGCCAACCUUUUGUUUGACUUCCUUCUUGUCCAUCAUAUCACAGAGUCUGUAAUCCUACUAGGAGGUGAACUGAGCAUGGCAGAGGAGCUGGGGGCAGCAGGAAAGGGUUCUGCUUUUUGACGGGGACACCUAAAGUUUGUGGGAAAGAGAGAAACUUUUAUUAUUUAUGCUUCAGAUUAUGAAUUAUCGAAUAACAGUUCUUUAAACAUAUGUAUCACAUUUUGUAUCUUAAGGCCAAUAUAAGUUUUUAUAUGCAUGACGUACCGUUUUCUUCCUCCUUCAUUUUCCUUUCCUCUUUCCAUGAUUGUACUUUCCAGUAGUCAAUACCAAAGGGUCUGAUGUAUAAAAUGUGGUUAAAACUUUAUCAAGAUCAUAGAAGGAAACAAUUCUGCAGAUAUAGUCAGACAUAUUAAAAGUCAUUUUCGAUAUAUUGAUCAAAUGGCGCUUACAAAAUAUUAUCCCACAAUGUUAAUUUAGACACACAAGAAAAGAGAAGAAGAGUAGUUAAUAAGAUUAAGCAGAAAACAGAAAUAUUCAAGAAAACAAAACCUAUAACCAUGUAUAUUUCAAAUAUAGUCAAACUUGUUUAUUACAAUGAUAUUUCUACUUAGUUUCAGAUGAGACUUUCAUCAAACACAUUGUAGACAUCUUUUAACAUUUGCCACUACAGGAAUCAGAACAGCAAGAGAAUGGAGAAGAACCUGUUCACAUAUAAUUCUACUUAAAUAACGGGAUAUUCUUACGGCCAACGACUUGAAGCUCAUCUCCUCCCCUCAUAUCUUCAGCAUAUUCCUUAAUCUUCAUAGCGGAAUCUUCAAGUUGAGGGCUCUUUACAAGUUUUCUAAUUUUCAAUGAAUUAAUGUCCCCAAACUAGGCGGAAUCUCCUCAAGCUUACGACAUCCCCGCAGUUUUAAUUUCUCAAGCGCAGGAAAGGAUUCCUCUCCAACCUCCCACUUGGAAAGAGUCACUUGUUCCAACUUCAAAUAUUUGAGAUUCUCAAAGGUGUCUUCCUCCCCCAUGUUCCAUUCUUCCCCAUGGAUGAUUGUACGAUAAAGGGUCAACUCUUCAAGGUUGGGCAGUCUCGCUAUUGUUGAUAGUGAAUCGGAUGUCAGAGGAAACUCAAGCAGAUGAUAUUUUUUCAGAUUCGAAGGGAAGUAAAAAUCCCACGGCCGAUUUGUCGCUACAGAGGACCCACUGUCGUUUGUGUUUGAUCUUUCAAAAGCUACAGUGAGGUCUUCUAGUUCAGUUAGGCAAUCCAAUUUCGGGAACCAAUAAUGCUCUGUUGAAUAAUUCCAUGAUUCCUUGAGUUCAAACUUAAGCAUUUGAAGAUUGGGAAGCCUUUGGAAAAUAUCCUCGGAAUCUUUCCAAUACGAACGCACGAGUUUGUUUAAAUAUCUCAAGUUCUCUAACUUUGUGUCCUCUGCUACCAGAAUUGGUUCAUCUGUAUCCACAUCAAAGAAAUAACAAGCAGUCGUAGCCAGCACUUGCAACUUUAAAAGAUCCCAAAUUCUCGGUAAUAGUACCAAGGUUGAUACUUUGUUAUCCACCAACAAGAUUUCUAGAUUCCAGAGGUUUGAGAAAGACAAAGGCAGAGAUUCAACUUCUGUCUCAAUGUUUAAGAACCUCAAAUGAUUCAACAUGCAUAUUUCAUUCAGCAAAGAAUCAUUCACCAUGAUAAAAGAGGGAUCCAGGUACAACACUCUAAGAAGCCUCAAGUGUCUUACGUGAAAUGAAUCAGAAAGACGGUCAUCCAGCGGGUCUCCAUUUAUCCACAAAGAAUAGAGGUGUUUACCAGAAUGCCUUUUCUUAUUUGAAUCAAACAGGACAAAAUUAAGCACAAAGUGCUCCUCAUCAUCAAUGGUAAUUUGACGUGGCAACAAAUCUGGAAAGUCAUUUGAACGUAUCAAAUCAAACAACCUUUCCUCUCUUGCUUUUGUCAAACAAAAGUCAUGCACAAGAUCAUGAAGUUGGCAGGUCGGGUCAUCACCUAUCUCAUUGAAAGCAAUUACCAAGCUACUGGAAAUUAAGUUAUCCAAAUAAACCUUCAUCACUUCUUCCACACUCUUCAUCUCUGUCUGUUCCACAAGUCCUUCAGCAUGCCAAAAAUCUUUCAACGUAGAGCUUAUGAUUGCAGUGUCCUUCGGAAAACUCGCAAGGUAAAGAAAGCAUGGCUUUAGGUGAUGUGGCAAAUGGUCAUAACUUAAUUCUAUAACCUUCAUCACUUCCACUUGACUGUUCAAAAUAAAGGAACUCAAAUUAUUUCGAACUUCAAGCCACACUGUCUUUUUCUUUUCCAAACCUGCAAUGACUCCAGCAAUCAGAUCAGCCACCAAAGGAAGCCCUUUACAAUUUUCGGCUAUUUCUUUUCCAACAUCCAAUAAUUCAUUAGGAAAACUCUCGUUUCCAAAAACCCUUUUCUCUAAUAACUCCCAACUUUCUUCUGAUCUUAGCAAUCGAAGGUUAAGAGGAGCAGUGUAGAGCUUUCCAUGUAAACCCACUUCCUUUUCUCGAGUUGUCAAAAUAAUUCUACUUCCUUUCACAACUUCUGGAAAAGGUCUUGUUAACUCAUCCCAUGUAGUAGUAUCCCACACGUCAUAUAAGACAAUAAGAUACCUCUUUCCAUACAGUUGUUUCCGUAGCUUAUCAGCCACAUCAAUAUUCUCACUCAAUUUUGAAUCUGAGUCACUAACUUGAUUGAAAAUUUUAUUCAACAACUUCUUCUCGUCAUAUCCUUGGUCGACCGUGCACCAUGCACGAAGGUCGAAAUGGCUAGAAACUGAUUUAUCAUUGUAUACUUUGUACGCCAAAGUAGUUUUACUUGAACCCGGCAUACCAGUGACCGAAAUGACAUCCAGAUCUGCUUGUCCACUGGUGAGCUUCCGAAGUAACCAGUUUGUCUCUUCCUCAAAACCUACAAUUAUUUUACCAGCUGUCAAUGACUUGCUUUCAACUGGCUUCUUGGGGGUGUUUACAACAAUGAGGCCUCUGUUCUUGGGAAUCUUCUCAUGUAAAUCAGAGAACUCUUCUUUGAUAAGCUUCAUCUUCUUUAUGGUAAUGGGAAGUGAGAAAAUAAGAUGUAAGAGACCAUUAUCUCGAACAAUAAUUGAAUCUAUGACAUCUUUUGCCUCAUAAGCCACAUCUAGAACACGUGUCCAGAGAUCCUUAUACAAUCCUUGCUCAACAUUCGCGAAGAAUGAUCUUAUGAAUUUUAGGCCUUGUUUCACCUGCCCUAUUUCUUUCUUUAUCAAAUCAACUGAAUAAGCAUUGGAAUCUAACAAAUCAUUUAAGUGUAUGUGCAGCAGAUGCAUGAAGAGUGGUCCAUCACUCAUGGGGAAGCAACAUUGAGAUGAAUCCGGGGAUUUCAGAUAAACAUGUUUGAGAUCUUUCUUGAGGAGUUCAAUAUUUUCCAGCAAGUCUAGGGUUGCACGAUUUGUUUGGUCGUUACCCUCUUUAUUCCUUAAUUUCUCUUCCAAGUCGCGUACAAGAGUUGAUACCUCCCUGGUAAGUGCUCCAACACGAGCCAAGAGAUCAAAAAGUUUGUCAUGAUGAAUAAAGUCCUUGGGCAUAUCAGAAAGAAUAAUCAAUAGGAAUUCCAUCAUGACAUGAAUGUUUCGAGCCCCUGAAGUGCUAGGGGUAAUAACAGUUAUCAUAUGCUCUUGUAGAUGAAUCAGAUAUUCUCUUAGAAUGUACGGAGAGGUUUCCAGGAGCUGCUUAAUGAAACGUCCAAUUUCUGCUGAAGUUGAAGCUUUCAAAUUUGUAUAACAUAUGUGCAUAACCUUCAGUUCUGUUGGAACAAUCUUCAAGAGUAGAUGUGCUAGCUUGAAGAGUCGAGAGUCUCUAUCAUUCUGAUCAUCCUCAUCUAGCUCGGAGAGUUGAGAUUCUUCAUCAGUCUGAUCCUCCCAAAGGAAAUGUCCUACUUUCUCAGCCAUCAGUUGAAACAGAGGCAAGACAUUCUGAACCAUCUCAUGUUUAAUGCAACCAUUCACUAUCAAACCAUGGAAAUCUCUUAUGUUACCACAUACAUUCUGAAGAACCUCAUAUUGAGUCACUCCAGGAAACAUCUUUUCAGCACGAUGCUUGGAUAGAUGAUAGAGAUUCAAGAAGAGGAAGUCCAAUUGCUUAUCCAUCAUGGUGGCAUCUGAUUUAGAAGAACGAUGAUACAAGCUGAUACAGUCAUCCAUAUUACCGGCGAGGCUAGUAAGGACAUAUUUACACCCGACAUCUUUGCCAUCAUCAUCCAAAAAAUUGGUUGAAGCAGAUUCUCAACCUCUUGUCUUUUUCUAGUCAUUAUAUCUUCAAACAGCUCCAAAUUGGAAUAAGAAAGCUGGACAUAUGUACAAAUAAAUGCCAGCUCCAAUUUUUAGCUUUUCAACUUGAUCUUUGUCAAGAGCUUUUUGAUUUUCUUCAUUCUCUAAUCUCUCUAGGAAAUCCAGAACAUCGGCAAUGUCCUUGCGUAGAGCAGAAAAUAACACCUGCCAAAAUAACACAUAUCAAAUUUUUAAAGCCACAUAUCUACAAUUCAACACUUUACAGUUCACUCUAUCAAAUGGCUUACCAAUGAGUUGUUUGCUUCUUCAUUAUCUUUUCGUUUUUCCAUGAUUGUAAUUUUCUGUUCAAGUUCUCAAGACCUGAUGCAUAAAAAGUACAUAAAACUUUAUCAGGAGAAAGAAGAUGAAAAGACAAGAAUAAUCAAUAAUUUCACUAUUUUCACGCGAACUUAAGAGGAGGUCUUAUUUAGUGGAAGAUGAUAAAGGUGAGUCUAUUGAUUUUCGACAGUUUCUGUAUAAUAAAUUUGUAACCAUUUUCUUAUUGAGUUUUUGUUUUUAUAUAUAUAUAUAUAUAUAUAUAUAUAUAUCAAAGUAGUCAAACAUCAAAUGGUGCAUAAAGAGCAAUUGUAUACUUGACAUAUAGUAAUUUUAUAUUCACACAAUUGGAAAUGUCAAUCUUAAUCACACAUCAAAAUGUUUAUGACAUGAAAUCACAAACAUUAAAUCUCACAACUGUUAAUUAUUUACAAAAAAGGAGUAUGAAGAAGAAAAUGGAAGAUCUAAAUAUUCAAUAAAAUAAAGUGUAUCACAACUGUUAAUUAUUUACAAAAAAAGGAGUCCUACUCGUUUACCAUUACUUUUCCAACCUAUACGAAGAAGAAAAUGAAUGAUAAUCUUUUAUGUACACUUACAAUUUGAAUUGAAGAAAAUAACUUGUAAAAAUGGGGUUCAUCCAUAAACGAGACCAACUGGUACCGAACCUUUCUAUCUUUAAUAGCUUAUAGUAAUAUAUUUUCAUUAGUGAGGGGAAUCUUUCGUCAUCUUAGAAAAAAUCUAAAAGAUCUGCUUCUAUUCACUCUGCACUCUCCAACCCCCUCCCUCUCACCCGGUAAGAAUUCACCAGCACUGGAUAUUAAUACCAAACUAAUACAACUUAUCAUGGGUAAGUAAUAAUUUAAUGAGAUGAAAAUAUACAUUAACUAACUACGAUUAAGUGACAAGGUCAUACAUCUAUUGAUUUAUUGUAAACAGACGGUGAUCUAUUUAGUCCUCUCUCUUUCUCUUGCAUUUUGUUUUCCUUUAUCUUUGUGAGAUCCAACUAACCUACCAAAGUUUUUUCAUUUUCCUUACAUUUUACUUCUCCAUAAUUAAAACAAACUAUUAGAUGAGUUGACUAACCUUUUUAGUUGCCUCUGCUUGCUUUGUUAUUAGAUCUAUAGAGCUCAAAAUUCUGGAAAUAAACAGAGGAACAAUUAAGACCAAAUAUGAUGCAUAGUAUUAUUCCAAAAAGUCAAGAAAGCAAAAGCAUGAAUCAAUUACAGUGGGGCCUCCAAAGGAAAAAGAUAAGAAAAUUAAUCAAACUUCCAAUAUUCUGCUCACUUUAUAUCACUUCCUCCGUUUUGUUGUAUUUGACACUACUAUAUAUUGAUCUUGAGAGGGGAGCAUGAGUUUACGUGAAUCUGGUGACCACCUCAGCAUAUGUGAUACGCCUCUGCCCUCCAGAAUACAACAAUCCAAUAACAUCAUACAACUCAAGCAACUCCGAAUUAGUUGAAGAGUCCAAAGCUUCGCAAAAAAAAAAAAACAUCUUUCUUCAACAUAUAAUUAUUCUCUUUUAUAUAGUGAAUAUAAUUGAAGACUUAGAAUAUUUUUCUUUGUCUCAACUCUCUUUUACCUAGAUUAAUUAAUCUCAAUAUAAACACAAUAUAGUACUCCUCAUCUUUUUUCACUCUAUUUCUUGUUUAUCCCUGGCUGUCAAAACAAAGUAAUACCAUCACUAUUUACAGGUGAGAAAUUCGAAGAUUAUACGAUAAUAAAUUGUCACGCCCCGAGCCUACACCCUGGGCGGGACCGGCAAUCGGAGACCAUUGCUGGCCCCAAGCGAACCCUUGGCCUGACUUUCUUAACUCAGCGGAAACUUAUCUCAAAAGCAUAACUCAAUGCAAUGAAAAGUUAUAAACAACCAACUGAUAAAAUAUGGCCAAAAAGGCAACUCGAGUCUCAAAAUAGAAUAGUAAUAUAUAUAUACAUAGAUGAGAGACUCAAAACUAACUGACUGACUGUCUAUGAAGCCUCUAAAAUACUGAGAUGGAUGUUGGGACAGACCCCGCAACAUCCUAAUAAAACAAAACUUAAGAACAUAAAUAAUUGAGUCCUCCGGAAUGCAAGGAGGCUCACCACUGACUCUGGAGUGCUCAGCUGGAUCAACGACGUGCAGGAUGCUGAACUUACCUUGGCUCUGUACAACUCAAGAAUAACUGAACUUAAUAUAAAGCAAUGAGACACAUGCAAUAUAUAUAAAGCUUUUGAAACUAUUAAAACAUGACGUAAAAAUCAUAUUUAUAAUAUCAUAAAAAUACCAUGCUUCCUCUCAAAGUCUACUUGUGCAAUGCAUGAAUGAAGUCCCAUACCCCCAUUCAUACUAAGCAGAACUUAUCGAGGAACCAAGCUCUUUUUACUGCUGUGGGAGUUUCUCUAACCGAUAACCACCACUAUGAAACUAAGUGGUGAUACAACGUUUUACCUCACGUUGCCCAAGGACCAUCCUAUACCUUGCCAUCGAUAUAGGACCUUACUUUAACUUUUGCUUAAUGGAUCCACUAGCUUAACUUUCGUGAUCAUCUAAAAAGUAUGAUCCGAGAAAUCCCAUGUUUGGCUACAUGGUUCUUAUGGAGAGUUGAGUUUAAUAUGAACUCGCGUCCCCAAAUCGGUGCUCGAUACUACUCCCAAAAUACUUUAGCUCAUAAGUGUUUUAAACACAUCUUUCUUUAGUUGAGAUAAUUACUCAAAACUUAGCCCGAAGGCACUUGAAAACUCUGUUUAAAAAGAACAAAUCAAAACCAUAUUUUUUAAUAUGAUCAUUGAUGACUCGGGAUAUUCAUACUGCUUAAACAUUGAUGGUAUAUCUAGAGACCAUACUGUUUAAACAUUGAUGACAUACUCGAUUUGUCAUACUAAUCAUAUUUUAGAAACUCUUUUGCAAAACUCAUCUUUUCUUUUUAAAAGAGAUAAUACUCAAACUUCUCAAAACUCUUUUGGAAAUUUCAGUUUCCUCUCAACUUAAAUGUGAAAACACUUAUAAACUUCUUUGGGAAAUACUUAGUUCCCUAAUUACUUUUGAGAAAUGAACUCAACUCUUGACUUAACUUGAAACUCGAUACUCUUUACUCAACUUGAAACUGUAUGCUCUUUACUCUUUACUUAACUUGGAACUUGAGACUCCUUACUCAACUUGAAACUCUAUACUUAACUUGGAACUCGAGCCUUAGAAUGAAGUUAAAACGUUCAAUGAAGACUCUUGAAAACUUUGAAGACUUGCUUGGACUGACUUAACUUCUAAGCUUGACUUCUAAUUUCACUUGACUUGGAAACUAACUUCACUUGAAUUGAAAACUAACUUCACUUGAAUUGGAAACUAACUUCACUUGAAUUGGAAUCUAGCUUCACUUGAAUUAGAUCCUAACUCACCUUGAAUUGGAUUAUGGAUUCAAGGGUAAUGAUCUCAUGUUUUACGAUACUUCUCAUUUUCUUACUCACUUGCUCGAGUCUUGAAACAAGUUACUAGAAAUUGUAGACGACUCCUCACAAAGACUCAAAGGGAUUUCCUUAGAAUAUUUGAAAGAAUUCUCAAAACAUAACUCCCAACUCUAACCUUGAAUUUGAAUUAUGAAUUCAAGAUUUUUGAUCAUGUUAGGAAUGACUUUUUGGUGUUUAGAAGUAGCUUAGAGUAGUUGGAAUCGAAAGGGAGUUAAUGCGCACUUUAAAUGAGCUCAAACGGGGCAACCGAUGACAAAAAGAUGGGGCAAGUGACCCUGGCGCCAUGGGUGGCACGGAGCGCCAGCCCUUAAACUUCAGAGGGGAGUUUGGGGCGCUCUGGCAGGCGCGUCGCGCCAGGCCCCCAACCCAGAAAUUUCAGCAAGUUUAUUUUCUCGUUUUCUCACCUUAUUUCACCUAAAAUCGAAUGGUUUUUUUCCCAAAUCACUUAGAAUCAUUAAAACCCUCAAUAUACCAUAGAUUCAACUCAAAAACACCACCGGAAACAUCCACCAAACCAACAAGAAACUUCAACAACACAACCACAAACUUCAACCAACAACAACCACAACCAACAACUUCAACAAAUAUAACCAACAACUUCAACAAACAUGAUCAAACUUUUCUCAAUAAUAAAAAUGAGUUUGGCGUGUGGAGGAAAGAACCAACCAACACUUUGAACUCACAUACCUUAAUAGGGAUCACCCCCGACGAUACCACGACGAUCUUCUUGCUUGAUCUCCUCUUCUUCUCUUCUUCUUCUCUCAAAACCCUCACUCUCACUUCUUUUAAAAUGGUAAAACUGAUCAAAAUAAUCAGCCUAACACAUUUAUAUAACCAAAAUAAAAGGCUAGGGAAACGACCAAAAUGCCCUUAAAAUUUCCGGACGGAUUCCCUGCCAACUGCCCAACUUUCAAAGGGCAUAACUCGCUCAUACAAACUCGAAAUCGAGCAAACUCGGUGGCGUUGGAAAGAUCAUUCCACAAGCUUCACAACCAUAACUUGAACUACUCCUAAAUCAUCCUGAUCUAGGAGUUACGACUGCUCAAAGUUGGCCAAAAAUUCACUGAUUUCCAUACUUAGCCAAAUUUCCAAAACUUUAAAAUUCUUUCCAAAAAUGAAAAUUUCCAAUUCUAAGCCUCUUCAAUUAUUUCAAAAUGUCAGAUGUUACAUAAAUUGGGUAAAUGAAUAGUCCAUAUGUUACGAAAGUUACAAACAUAAUGACUUAAUGAGGUAGAAUAACAUGCGAAUAAUGAGAUUCAAAUAAAAUUAUAUCACUAUUUUAAUUUUCAAACAAACACUCUUACUCUAACAAUUAUCUGUGUAACACUAAUUGGUAAAAAAUCUUCCUAUAUCCACCAUCAUUUAUACAUUUUUAGUGCAACAUAAAUCCUAUAAAUACUUCACAUUUACAAGUCAACCAUUAUAAUAAGAUGUCUAACUUAUGUGGAGCACGAUUGUCAUAUAUAUACUAUAAGUUUAUAGAAAUGGAUACACUUGGCUACACAUGCGAUUUACUAUAAAAAUAUAAUAAUUUGAACGUUUUAAUGUUAGUCUACUACUUAAUUGGUAUAACUUUUAAUCUUCUUAACUUAAUGCUAACCUUCUCAAUAGUUAGAACAUGUUGCCUUUUCAUUUUCUUUGUGAAUUUAUCUUAGUUUAUUUUUUAAUUACAACCUUUCCACAUUUCAGCUUAAUGUACAAAAUAUAAAAAAGAAUAUUUUAGAAUAAAAAUGAAUUACCCAAUUUACCAGAAACAUUUUUUUUUCUUCAUUUGUGUUCUUAAUAACAAAUGAACAUUUACUUUAAAGGUUUUUUUUUUUAAAAAAAAAGCAAGCAUUAGAGAAAAUGAAGAGACAAAUGGUGUUAAUAUAUCAUUUAUGUAAUUUAAUUAAUGAAGACAUAAGAGAAAGUAGAGAUUUAAAUGAUGAGGUCUAUAUAUUCUUGGAGUUGAAAAUGGAGGAAUCAAGUUAUCAUGUGAAAUGGUUGGAAAACAUACUUGAAGAGAGGAUCAAUGAUCAUGAAGCGAAGUAACUAGAAGUACUUUUUUUCAAUUUUCGAUAAUUUUAUCCUUUUCUAAUUCUUCCUUCUUUUAUAUUAAAUACGUAUACGCAUUAAUCAAAAUAGCUAAGAAGCUCUCCGUAUUUCAAAUGUCUCUGUUUAUAAAGGAACUAGAUAAUAAAUCCGCACUUCGCGCGGACAUAAAUAAUCUUUCUAAGCUUUUUAACAACCUUUCCAUUAAUAGAUUGUCAUAGGAAAAAAUAUUAAAUUUUAGUACAUUUUAUGAACAUCAGCAGAAAUUAAAUGAUUUUACAUUAUCACAUAUCUCAAGAAUCUAUAUAUAUAUAUAAAGCUGAAUAUCAGCUCGCUGAUGUGGCAUGUCUCUAAGGGCUGGAUUUCUAUUUAUCUUUUUUGUGAUUUUUUUUUAGUUUUUUCUUCAUUUUAAGAAAUCAUACACCUGCUUCAAUUAUAAAUUUUUUACAUUAAAAACAUUUUCCUUAAUUGUAACAUUUAAGAAGAUUUAUUCCUUACACUUAAUUACAGAAUUUGAAAAGUUUUGUAACACUUACUUUUGAAUACUAUAUAAACACAUACAACAUAACAUUUGUUCUACAUCUCUCUAGGCCUAGAUAUGAAUCGAAGCCAAUUUUGUAAUUUCAAUUGUCAAUAUUACUGCCAAUUUCGUUAUUUCAAGUGUUAAUAUUGCUACCAUUUGAUACUCCUAUGAUCCUGUUAGAUCAUCAACACACUCAUUUACCAUUCAAGACUUAAAAUCACUAGCAAUAUGGAUAUGAAAUUACCGAACAUUUGUUGAAUGUUACACUUAUACCAUGGUAAGAAGGUUGAUCGGAGAGGUUUUCUGUUGUUAUGACAAUCAAAAUAGUUAAUUGCGGUUGGGCAUGACGAAGUGAUGAAUGGGUUCUCACGGAAAUCAAAACACUUGUAAUAUUGUAUAUUGAGGUCACAAAAUAAUUUGAUAUAUUUUGUAACUUUUUUCUAUGUUCUUUAUCAUUAUUGUAGAAGAAAAUGAUAAAGUAUUUUAGAGAAAAAAUUGAACAUGAGAGAUUUUCCAUAAAACUAGAAGGAGAUAAUUAAAAAUAAAUGAUAGAUUGGAGUAAGCAAUAUAUAAAGACUAAAGUGAUGGGAGAAAAUGGAAAAUGAAAAAAUAAUAAAGAAGAAUACGAAAAAGGAAAAGGAAAGAAAAGAUUUCAUGUAAUAUAAUUAAAAUUUAAGUUUAAUUUGCAAUUAAUGAUUCAUUUAUUUUGUUACAUAUUUUAAUUUUUUAUUUUAUCUAAUCUAUGAAAUCUGAAAAAAUAAUAAUAUUAAAAUACUUUAUUUAUCUCUUCUCAUCAUUACUAUUUACUAUAAUUUGUUACUUUUCAUCUUUCUUUAUUAUUACUACAAUUUAUCACUUUUCCUUAAAUUCUUUUUUCUACCUUCUAUUUUUAUAAUUUUCUAAAAAUAAAAAAAACGUAUUUAACUCUAAUCCUUAUUACGAUAAUUCAAUAUUAUACCUUCUAUUUCUAUUUAUUUAUAUAUAUAUUAUUUAUGUCUUCUUUUUACUACCAUAAAUAUGUUCUCCCCACUAAUUUUUUUCUCAAUCAAUCUCAUUUAAUUAGUUGUAAAAUGUUGAAGAAAAUUAAAAUAUCUUAUUUUUCAUCAUUAAUAAAAACUAUUAGUUAAUUUUCCUAAAACUUUUCUUUUCCUUCUAAAUUUCUUUUAUUUAUUAAAAAAUAAAACACUUCUUAAAUUAUGAUAAAUCUCUAUCACAAUCAUUUUCAAAGAUUUUCAUAUUCUGUAGUUUGUCAUUUUUGUCAGAAAUUUAUUUAUAACUUAAUUCUUUUUAAUUUUUACACUUCCAUCUUUUUUUGAGUUGCAGGAGCUUAGAUUUUCUUGUGAAAACAAAUUGUACAUAUAUAUAACUACAAAAAUAAAAGGUAAAAAGAGGAAUAUAAGGAAGAGAAAUAUUUAAGAAAUAUAUUUUUAUAUUUAGGCAAAACGGUAGCUUUUGAAUUCCUUAUUUUUGGGAAGGUAUAACUGAUCAUUAAUUAAUAAUUAAUCUUUUCUUUUUCUUUUUUUAAUGGGGAUUUUUUUUUCUCCUCAUUUAUGUGUUAUAAAAACCUUUAAAACCCACUUCUUUGAUUCUAUUAAUUAUAUUAAAUACAAUGUUAAGAAACUAAAAGGUCAUUUCUUUAAUAUAAGCUUUAAUGAUAUUUAUUUUCAUUACACUAACAACUUUUUAUUUUUCUAAUUUCUAAAGUAAUUAAUAAUCAUAUUGAUAUUUUAUAUUAUAGUCGUAUAAAUUAAGAUAUUGUCAGACUUUAUAGAAAUCAUCACAUUAAUUUUUUUAUUAUUAUAUUUUCGAGAGAUAUUGUCAGACUUUGUAGAAAUCACCACAUUGAUUAUUUUUUUUUGGUGUUAUAUUCUUUAUGUUUAUUAUUUGCAUAUUUUAGUUUGACUAAAAAAAAAAAAGAAGAAGAUGCAAACUAUUGAAUUAUGAUCAAUUUAUGAGAGUGUAUGUCAGUAAAAAUUCCAAAGAUUAAUUAUGCAUUGAAUUUGUAUUUUAUUCUUCGUUUUAAAAAAUUAAGGUCUAACAAUUAUAUUGCAAACACAUAUUCAUCUAUAUGAUACUUAAUAAAAUUAUUCAUAGCUUAUCAUUUUUUAUAAUCGCGCGAAGCGCGAACAAGUUCACUAGUAUAUAUAUAAAGGUGGAUAUCAAACAUGCUGAUGUGGCGCUCUCUAAGGCCAAGAAAUCUAUUUAUCUAUUUUCUCCUUUUUAAUUUUUUUUUUUUGGUUUUUCCUAUCAAAUAAAAUAAUUAUUAUGAUAUAAUUAUCUUGUUAAAACUGAGUGAUGUUUUUAUGUAGCAAUUAAACAUCACUUUUUUAUAUUUUUGUACAUGAAAAAUAUAGAAUCUGAUAAUUUAAUGGUUGUUUUAUUCAAAAAAUAUAUUUUGGACUGUGUUUUAGAGUCGCCACUUAAUUUUUAAGAAAAAUCAAGAAAACUGAUUUUCAAUAGAUUAAAACAGGAAAUCAAUUGAAAAAUACUUAAAGAGGGUUCGAGGUUCCUAUUAAUAUUCUAGGAAGGUUUUUAAAGCACUCAGAAUAUCCGCUAAUGCGGUUAUCCGGCAAUUAAAAUAUUUGGCUGAAAUUUGAACAUGCUUAGGAGAAUAAACAAUUUUGAAAGUUACAGUAAUCUCAAGGGGGUAAGGAAAAAAUUAAGAUACUAGUUAAGUUAGAUAUCUUCUUGCAAAUAUGUUUUCAAAGUCAAGUGAAAAGAAUGCUUACUUAAUUUUUAGAAAAUAUUCGGAAUGGCUUCCUUAGGGAAAUUGAAUUGUAACAACCUUAAAACUAAUUAAACAGACAAGCGUGCGAGUAAUGACAAGUAAGCAAGUAUAAAACAUAAGUAAUAAAGAGUGGACCCAAGUCUGGUUUUCUGUCCGCCUGGGCCAGUACUUGGGCCCAUUUUCAUUUUGGGCCUUUGGCCCAUUUACGUCACAUGCACCUGUCCUAAACUAACAUGAAAGAAAUAUAUUAUUUCCUUUGGGGCCUAAGGCCCAAUUUUCCCACCUGUCCUAAAUUCUAACAAGAAUAAUGAUAAAUAAAAUGACGAGGGCUUAGGCCCAAAAUAAUAAAAUACAUCUCUUUGGAAUUAAGAGUGGGCCUUUGGCCCAAUCUUUUCAAUUUCUCCGAUCUGCUGCAUAUUCCCUUCAACUUCGGGACCUAUUCGUUGAUUUUUAUAGGAUGGCCGACUCGAGUAAAAUAAAAUUGGGACUUUUGCAGAGCAGCAAACGGGACGAAACGAGCUGAACAACGAAACUUUCACACCACAACAAUGAGAACUCCGGCCGACUCCGGGGAACUCAGGCGAAGGAACUUCGAUGGACGCUUAUAUGAAACGGAAAGUCUAGAAAUUUAUGGCUAUAUGAAUACUAUUAGCUUUGGUUUCUUGCUUAGUCAAUGCCGCCUGAUUCCAACAUUUUUUCCAACCUUUCCCUCUGUUUUUCCCAAUCAAUUUUUCUCUUUGUUUCUUGCCAAAAAAAUUUCCAACUAAAUUUCUCUCAACUAAUUUUCCCCCUCCCCAACAGUGAGUCAAGAGCAACAUAUAUAGAAGGGAAUUUAGGUUUCGUAAAAAUGGGGGAAACAGACAGAUUUCGGGUGGGAGUGAGACCCACCCAAAAUUCAAACUUCAAAAAUAUUUCACCAAAUCGGCCAAACAUCCUUUUUCUGAGAUUUCGUCCCAUUUCGGAAGAGGAAAUGGAGACAGCCGCGUGCUUGUUUUAAGAUGCUCUAUUGUACAAAUUGAAAGGGACGUGGGAGGAAGACGACACAGCGAUUGGGCCUCGCGAUUUUGGGCUGUGUCGCUACUGGACUGCACUGUUUUUGAUCGAUUCUGGCUGGGUUUUGCAGCUGCUCGUUCGCGUCUGGGCUUGCUGAACCUGCUGGAGAAGAAGAACAGUGUAGGGGUCGGUUUUGGUAUUGUGUUGUUAUUUAUUUUGGUAUUAUAUUGUUGGAUAUGGGCUGCUGUAUGUAUGCUGGUUGUUUUUUGCUGGAAUGGGUCGGUAGUGGGCUGCUGUACGUGUAUAUUUGCUGGACAUGGAAUGUUGGGCCAUGAUUUUGAUCAAAUUUGAGAAAAGGAUCAAAAUUUGGUCCUUUAAAAAUUGAUUAAGCUAGAAUUGAAUUUAAACUUUGGCCAUAUGAAUCUAAAUUUAAGCCAAAUGUAGUCAAACUUAGUUGAUUAUGAUAAGUUCGACUAGUAAUUAAGCAAGAUGAAUUAAUAUAGAUUAAUCAGUAAGCUUCUUAAUUUCAACAAAAUAAAAUAAUUGACUUAAUUAUAAAUCAAAUAAUUUAAAAUAUAAAAUAUUAUGUAACUAAACUAAUUAACCAAAUAUUUGAUUUAAACAAAAAUCUUUUUGCGACUAUUUUCGAACAUUCAUAAAAUAUACUAAUUAGACACAUAAUUAUAUAAUAAUUAACUAAAUUAUAAACUAAUUAACUCAAAAUAUAAGCUAUUAAUUAAUUUAAACUAAAUAACCAAAUAUUUAAAUGAAACUAAAAUCCUUUAGAGACAAUUUUCGAACAUUCAUAAAAUAUACUAAUUAGACACAUAAUUAUAUAAUAAUUAACUAAAUUAUAAACUAAUUAACUCAAAAUAUAAGCUAUUAAUUAAUUUAAACUAAAUAACCAAAUAUUUAAAUGAAACUAAAAUCCUUUAGAGACAAUUUUCGAACAUUCAUAAAAUAUACUAAUUAGACACAUAAUUAUAUAAUAAUUAACUAAAUUAUAAACUAAUUAACUCAAAAUAUAAGCUAUUAAUUAAUUUAAACUAAAUAACCAAAUAUUUAAAUGAAACUAAAAUCCUUUAGAGACAAUUUUCGAACAUUCAUAAAAUAUACUAAUUAGACACAUAAUUAUAUAAUAAUUAACUAAAUUAUAAACUAAUUAACUCAAAAUAUAAGCUAUUAAUUAAUUUAAACUAAAUAACCAAAUAUUUAAAUGAAACUAAAAUCCUUUAGAGACAAUUUUCGAACAUUCAUAAAAUAUACUAAUUAGACACAUAAUUAUAUAAAAUAUCAUAUUUAUCAUUUAAAAUUAUAAAAAUGACAAAACUACUUAAAAUGACUUGAAAAUUAUUUGAAUUUUAUAAAACUAAUUAUUCUAAAUCGUUUGGGAAUUAAGAAGCUCGUGAAUUAAUUAUUAUCGGGGAGGAUCAAAAUUGGGUGUCAACAAUGGUUAGAAUAACUCCUUGCGAAAAAAAAAUUAUGUGAAAGUUUUGAUAAUCAAUAUUAUUCAUAAAUAAGUUAAGACCGUUAAAAACCACACCAACAUAAAUAAUUUUUUUAGAGACAAUCUACUUGUUUGAGGUCAAAUGUUCACCACUUUUCGUUAUUGCUACUUUGUUAGUCUAACAAAAUUUAUAGAAGGAGAAAAUAAAUUUGAAACGACACCAAAAUAAUAUUGUUGACCCUUUUAAAAAUUCAUUCUUCAUUAGACUGCUGCUCCGAAGGCCCUUCUAGAUGCUUUAUCAAUGCAACUUUAAGACUUUUUUUAGAAAUAUGUAUGUAUAAAUUUUGUAUUAUGAAAGUAUAAGUAGAUCAAAAUGUUGGAUCCUCGACUCAUGUUAAAGAAAUAUUCUUGAACAUUAAAAAAAUUAACGCUCAGCAAUGACUUGGACAUAAAGGACAACAAAUCUAUGUUAAUAGACAUAUCUUUUGUAGCUUAAGAUAUUACUUUUAUUGAGAGCAGGUUUUGUUUCAUAUUCUUCAAAUUAAGCUUGCUGAAAAUAGUUAUAACGCACACCAAAAAUAUUUAGAAGUGAGGAAUGAGAAGGAAAAAAAGAAAAACAUUAAAAGGACGAAAGCUUUGUCCAAGAGAGAUCAUAUACAUACCAAACGAAAAAUAUUCAAUACAAUUUUAAGGAGACCAUAAAACAGCGAGAAAAAACAUACUUUAACGAGAGUAAACUAUGAGAUAUCCAAUGAUGAUAACAAAUCAUUCUAACCAGAAAGUUCCUAUGUUUUGAAAUAACAUACCUCCAAAAAUUGACUAACACUUAAAUCAACUUUCAAUUCAUAGAUUACUCAUAAUAUCCACUGAUAAAAUUUAGUAAAAAUAGAUAACAACAACAUAAAAAUAUGGGCAUACAAAGUUAUUAAUCUCAGAGGAUUUUCUAAAGAACACAAAAUCUCAUCCUUGUAUCUGAAGGAAUGACGUUGCUGAUUAAGAAAUUAGAGAUUUGUGACGGAUUUUUUUAUCGUACCAACAUUUCCAGUAGGGAAAAAUUGCUUGAAUACUCAGUUAACGUUUGUUAUUUAAUCUGUACUAACAAAUACCUAUAACAAUAAUUUUGCAGAAACAUAAACAACAAACUUUAAAUCAUGUACUCAAAAACAACAACUAUUAAUAUAAGCAUAAGUUAAUAACAGUAAAAAACAUACAAGGAUCUGUAACAAUAAAAUGAAACAGAAUGGAAAAAUAAAAUAAUGGUGUCAGUGAGUCAUUUAACAGGAGCAAAGUACACAAAUAUUUAAUUGUCCAUAGAAGAAGAAGUUCAAAAUUUUCGUUGUUUUAAAAUGAGAGGAAAUUCCUCUAUUUAUAGACAACAAAGGGUAGUGUGAACAAAUAUUUAUUGUGUCUUAUCAGAGAGGUCACAACUCUUUGGAAAAGUUACAACCCUUCGGAAAGGUCACAACCUUUCAUAAAAGUCACAACUAUUCAUAAAAGUCGCAACUUUUCAUAAAAGGUUUUUCAUAAAAGUCACAACUUUUAAUUAAAUGAGGAAGGCUAGUUUUGGAAAUAAAAUAAAUUUAAACGGAAUCCUAGUUUGUGGUGGCGCCACGCUGGCGGGUUUAGAGUUUUCUUUUAUAUAUAUACAUGAUUUCUCAAUUGAUAAAAUUAAGUGUUCAUAUUUGUAUUUUUUUCCCUUACAAUUUUAGUUAUUCUAAUAGUACGAGUAAUUUUAAUUCUAGUAAUUUUUAAUUGUACAUCCAAAUUUAUAGUUUGUUUUCCUUCACUGCAUCUCUUUACAAAUUACUAUGUGACAUACACACAGAGCAUUAAACACGAAAUUAUAAAGGAUAAGUCUAUUGAAGACUGAUUCAAAGUAUGACCUGGUCAAUUAAGUUUGUUAGUAGUGUCCUAUAUUCUAGGGCUAGUUGUUAGCAAUUAUGCUGAUCAUGGUGUAGUACUUUCUAGUUUUGUUUUGGUUAGUAAUUAGUUGUUUAGUUAAUGGAAGUAGUGGUCAUUUAGUGACUUAGUAGUUUGUUAUUUUUAAGUCUAUAUAAAGCUGUACUUUCCUGUGAUUUCAGAUACUGAAAAAUAGAAAAGACUUUAGCAUACAAUUCUCUUCAUAUCUUCAGCAUAUUCCUUACUCUUGAUAGCUGAAUCUUCAAGUUGAGGGCUGUCUACAAGUGUGAUAAUUUUCAAUGAAUAAAUAUCCCCAAAACUAGGCGGAAUCUCCUCAAGCAUAUUACGUCCCCAUAGAUUUAAUUUCUCAAGCGCAGGAAAGGAUUCCUCUCCAACCUCCCACCUGGCAAGAGUCACUUGAUGCAACUCCAAAUAUUUGAGAUUCUUAAAGGUGUCUUUCUCCCCCAUGUUCCAUUCUUCCCCAUGGAUGAUUGUACGAUAGAGGGACAACUCUUCAAGGUUGGGCAGUCUCGCUA
rnacentral:lncRNA from 1 species